rnacentral:lncRNA from 1 species
AAGAUUUGACAAUUACUAUCAUGUAAAGUUCUAAAAUAGAUUUCUUUGGAGUCAUGAUUGUACAUAACUUACACCUGGACCCAUCUGCAGCUAACCUCCCACUCCCUGCAAUUGCAUAUUGACCUUGUGAAUUUGUUGAUUGGAAAAUUACAUCCCUUUCCUUACCUCUGAGUGUGAGUGUGUUAGCAGCAGUUCAGUGGGAUAUUUCAGGAUUCACAGUUCUUUAAUUCUGUCUUCCGGACAAACUCCAAAUUGUUUUUUAUGUCAUAGUGAAAUAUCAGAACUAUGGCCAGUCUUUAGCUGACUACAUUUUGAAAGCUGAAAUAGGAUAGAGCUACUGUGUGUGUAAAGGAACGGCCACCAGGUAUAAUGGGAGACUUUUUAAAAGCAGUCCCCGGUGUAAGCCCGAUGUGAGUUGGAUGUUUUUAUUGGUACACUGAUUCCUUAGGUGGCCUUCAAACAUCUAUUCCUGGACUCUUCCAUGUUUUCCUGGUGCUCUCAGCAUAGGCGCUCCACUGGUCUUAGAAGCUGCAGGACUGCCUGAUGGGCUGGCUGCCUCUGUGCACUUCAGUGAGCCAUUGUAAAUAAAUAGUCCUGCCCCGUCACUUCCAUUUUCGUGAUUCAACUGUAUUGUUUCCACAGCAUUUAUCAGUGUCUGAAAUGAUCUUACUCACUUCUGCUGUGUUUAUUUUCUGUCUCCCUUCACCAAAAUGUAAAGCUGCUUGAGGUCAGGGGUCUUGCCUUUCUUGUUCAUCAUUGUGUCAACAAUGCCCAGAUAGGACCUGGCACAAAUGGAGGGAUCAAUACAAAAUCAUUGACCAUGUGCAUAAAUGAACGUGCAUCAUAGCACCUGAUGGCACACCCAUUGUCAUCAUCAUCAAUGUCAAGAAGCAUUUAUUAAGCAGUACCACAGUGUUGCACAACCCCAGGGGGCUCUGUCUGCAUAGCACAGGACCAGGCCCUACGGAAAACAGAUGGAAGCCAAGAAGGACCUGAUCAAAUAUAAAUUUGUCAUCAAAGUUGCUCCUGGAUAAUAUGUCAGUGGAUUCCCUUAUAUUUGAAAUCAUUUUAUAAUAAGGAUCUCUAGGUAGUUCAGUGAAUAAACACCUCUGGAUUCCCCACAGAGCCACCUUAAACAGAAUGCAAACACUGCUCUCCAGUAAACAGCAUUAGAGGCAAAGGGCUCACUAGCCUUUCCUUUGGAAGAUUUCAUAAUCACAGCAAGAGACUUUCUGCCCAGAAACAAGUACAUAUACAAAGUAAUUCUUUUAUUAAAUUGGGAUUAAAUGCUAUCUAAAACUAAUUUAGAGAGAGAGUUCCAUUUAAUUGACUGAUUUGGGUAGGAUAAAAUGGUAAUAAUUGUUUUACAUGGUAUUUAAAUUUCAUUACUUGAGUUUCUUAUUGCUUCUUUUCACGUGAGAAUUACCUUUGCAAAUACGACAUAAUAGAAAGCUUUUCAAAAAGCUUUUACUUGCAUUUUCUCUCGGAGUGUAUUGGUGUUGUAUUCAGGGAUUGGAGGCUCAUAAGAGCAUAAUGAGAAGAUGAAUGCACCUCAACCUUAGAGGUGUCUCCAGUUACUGACUUUGUUCUUUCCCUCAGGCUGAAUGAGGUGAAUAUAGAACGUCUUGCAGUUGAAUAAUUUGGCUGCUUUCAGGCAAGAAUUUUUGUGAUGUUAUAAAAAUUGAGAUCUAAAAGGAAACUUAACCUUCAGUUCAUUCUUUUGAUGUAUUUUGCCUGAAGCAUGGUGCUAGGACCUGUUAUCUCAAAUAGGCAAUAUAAAAAUAUCUUUCUAAUUCACUCCUACAGUUGAAAGAUCCUCAUGGAUUGAAAUUACUGUGAUCUAUCAAAAUUCACUAUGUUGUGGAAAUAAAAUAAAAUCACAUGUCAGACGAGGAAUGAUGACAACAAUGGACCGGCUUAUUAUGAAGCUUAAAAUGAAAAUGCUUUAUCGGCAACAGUAUUGGAUUCUUGAAAGAUGGAAAAUAUGUGUCAAAAUCAGAGAAGCCACAUUAGUGAUAUGGCUGGUUUGUCCCAUGCUUUUGGAAUCGGUAGCAAUAUUUGGUUUAAUUGUAUGUCUUUUUAAAAAUCAGAAGAUAAUUCACACCAUAAAAUUCACCAUUUUAAAGUGUACAAUUCAGUGGGUUUGGAUAGAUUCGUAAGGUUGUGCAACCAUCAUGACUAUCAAGUUCUGGAAUAUUUUCACCCACUCUCAAAAAGAGGAAGCCAUGAUUGUGCUGUCUGUCUUUAAGGAUUUGUUUAUUCUGGACUUUUCAUUUAAACUGAGUCAAAUGGUAUGUGUUCCUUUAUGUGUGGCUACUUUCACUUCAUGUUUUUAAGGUUCAUCUAUGUUGUAGCAUGUAUCAGCAUUUCGUGUUUCUAAAUAACAGAACACUAUGCUAUUGUCUAAGUGUCCUACAUUUUAUUUACGUGUUCAUAAGUUGAUAGACGUUUGUUUUGUUUCCACUUUUUGGCUACUGUGAAUGUGUGCAAAUUUUUGUGUGAAUGAACACAUGUUUUCCUUUCUCUUGAGUAUAUCUAGGAGUGGAAAUGCUGAAUCGUAUGGUAACUCUGUUUACCUUUUUGAAUAAUAGCCAAACUGUUUCUCACAGCAGCUGUGCAAUUUUACCUCUCCACCUGCAAUGUAUGAGGGGUUCCAGCUUCUCUACAUCCUUACAACACUUGUUAUUUUCCAUUUUCAAAAUGAUAGUCAUUUUAGUAGAUAUAAAUGGGUACCUUAUUAAAAAAUAAAUAAAUAAAUAAAUGGGUACCUUAUUGUGGCUUUGAUUUUUAUUUCUCUAGUGACUAAGGAAGGAUGUUGAGCAGUUUCUCAAUUGAGUAUUUGCUAUAUCUAUCUAUCUAUCUAUCUAUCUAUCUAUCUAUCCAUCCAUCCAUCCAUCCAUCCAUCUAAUGUCCAUUUGAACUCUGUCUCAUUUUUUUAUUUGGGUUAUUUGUCUUUUUUAAAUUUUAAAUUUUUGUGGGUACAUAGGAGGUAUAAAUAUUUGUGGAAUAUAUGAGAUAUUUUGAUACAAGCAUUCAAUGUGUCAUAAUCGCAUCAGGGAAAAUGAGAUAUCCAUUGCCUCAAGCAUUUUUCCUUUGUGUUACAAACAAUCCAAUUAUACUUUUUUAGUUAUUUAAAAAUGUACAAUUAAAUUCUUUUUUGUCUAUAGUCACCCUGUUGUGCUGGCAAACACUAGGUCUUAUUCAUUCUUUCUAUUUUUUGUACCCAUUAACCAUACCCACUACCCCACCCUGUCCCCCACUACCUUUCCUAGCCUCUGGUAACCAUCCUUCUACUCUCUAUCUCCAUGAGUUCAAUUAUUUUAAUUUUUUUUUUUUUUUGAGACAGAGUCUUGCUCUAUCACCCAGGCUGGAGUGCAGUGGCCCCAUCUGGGCUCACUGCAAGCUCUGCCUCCCGGGUUCACGCCAUUCUCCUACCUCAGCCUCCUGAGUAGCUGGGACUACAGGUGCCCGCCACCGUGCCCGGCUAAUUUUUUGUAUUUUUAGUAGAGACGGGGUUUCACCGUGUUAGCCAGGAUGGUCUCGAUCUCCUGACCUCGUGAUCCGCCCACCUUGGCCUCCCAAAGUGCUGCGAUUACAGGCUUGAGCCACCGCGCCUGGCACAAUUGUUUCAAUUUUUAAGUCCCACAAAUAAGUGAGAACAUGUGAAGUUAGUCUUUCUGUGCUUGACUUAUUUCGCUUAGCAUAAUGACCUCCAGUUCCAUCCAUGUUGUUGCAAACGACAAGAUCCUAUUAUUUUUUGUGGCUGAAUAGUACUCCAUUGUGUACAUGUACCAUAUUUUCUUUAUCCAUUUGUCUGUUGAUGGACACUUAGGCUGCUUCCAGAUCUUGGCUAUUGUGAACAGUGUUGGAAAAAACAUGGAAGUGCAGAUAUCUCUUGGAUAUACUGAUUUCCUUUCUUUUGGCUGUGUACUUAGGAUGGGAUGGUUGAGUCGUAUGGUAGUUCUAUAUUUAGUUUUUUUUGAGAACCUUCAAAUUGUUCUCCAUAGUGGUUCCAUAAUUUACAUUCCCACCAACAGUGUACGAGGGUUCCCGUUUCUCCUUAUCCUCUCUGUUAUUUGUUAUUGCCUAUGUUUUGGACAUAAGCUUUUUUAACUGGGGUGAUAUGAUAUCUCAUUGUAUUUUGAUUUGCAUUUCUCUGAUCAUUAGUGACGUCGAGCACUUUUUCAUAAACCUGUUUGUCAUUUGUAUAUCUUCUUUUGAGAAAUGUGUAUUCAGAUCUGUUGCCCAUUUUAAAAUGGGGUUAUUCAAUUUUUUCCUAUAGGAUUGUUUGAAUUCCUUAUAUAUUCUGUUUAUUAAUCCCUUGUCAGAGGAGGUAGUUUGCAAAUAUUUUCUCCCAUUCUGUGGGUUGUCUCUUCACUUUGUUGCUUGUUUCUUUUGCUGUGUAGAGGCUUUUUAACUUGAUGUGAUCCUAUGUGUCCAUUUUUGCUUUGGUUGCCUGUGCUUUUGGGAUAUUAACCAAUAAAUCUUUGCCCAGUCCAAUGUUCUGGAGGGUUUCCCUAAUAUUUCCUUUUAGUUGUUUCAUAGUUCAAGGUCUGAGGUUUAAGUCUUUAAUCCAUUUGGAUUUGAUUUUUGUAUAAGAUGAGAGGUAGGUGUCUAGUUUCAUUUUUUUCUAUGGAUAUCCAGCUUUCCCAGCACCAUUUAUGGAAGAGACUAUUGUUUCCCCAAUGUAUUUUCUUAGCACCUUUGUCAAAAAUGAGUUCACUGUAGAUGUAUGGAUUUAUUUCUGGGUUCUCUAUUUUGCUUCACUGGUCUAUGUGUCAGUUUUUAUGCCAAUACAGUGCUGUUAUGGUUACUGUAGCUCCGUAGUAUAAUUUGAAGUCAGGUCAUGUGAUUCCUGCAGUUUUGUUCUUUUUGCUUAGGAUAGUUUUGGCUAUUCUGGGUCUUUUUUGGUUCCAUAUAUAUUUUAGGAUUGCUUUUUCUAUUUCCGUGAAGAAUGUCAUUGGUAUUUUGAUAGGGGUUGCAUUGAAUCUGUAGAUUGCUUUGGGAAGUAUGGGCAUUUUAACAAUAUUGAUUCCUCCAAUCCAUGAACACGGAAUGUCUUUCAAUUUUUUUAUGUCCUCUUCAAUUUCUUGCAUCAAUGUUUCAUAGUUUUCAUUGUAAAGAUAUUUCACUUCUUUGGUUAAUUCCUGGGUAUUUUAUUUUAUUUGUAGCUAUUGUAAAUGGGAUUACUUCCUUGAAUUUUUUUUCAGAUUUUUCACUGUUGGCAUAUAGAAAUGCUACUGAUGUUUAUAUGUUGAUUUUGUAUCCUGCAACUUUCCUGAAUUUGUUUAUCAGCUCUAAUUUUUUUUGGUGGAGUCUUUAGUUUUUUCCAAAUAUAAGAUCAUUUCAUCUCCAAACAAGGAUAAUUUGACUUCUUCCUUUCUAAUUUGGAUACUGUUUAUUUCUUUCUCUUAUUUGAUUGUGCUAUAGCUAGGACUUCCAAUUAUUUGUGUUUUUGUUAUUGAAUUUUAAAGGUUAUUCACAUAUUCCAGAUACUAUACCUUUAUUAAAUACAUAAUUUGCAAAUAUCUCCUCCCAUUCUGUAGAUUGCAUUUUUUAAAUGGUAUCCUUUUCUCUCUCUGGUACCAGAAUGCAGGGUGUUGGUUUCCAAGGCUGCUGCUGGUGAGGUGGACAGUGGAGGAUGAUAAUAGGGUAAGUUAAAGACACCAAAAACUUUAUGUUUUUAUGACAAUUUAGCCAGUUUUUUUUUUUUUUGGGAAUAAAUACUCCUUGGGUUGCUACAAAUCAUUGGUUAAUUUCUAGAGUUUUGAAAAAGUUUUCUGAUAAUUUUUGUCAGGUUUUUUCAUUGUUUUAUGAGGGGUAGUUAAAUCUGUGGAGGUUCUAAUUCUGACAUUUUCACUGCCGUCACCUCAACCAUGUCUUAUAUUGCAGUGGGAUGACAAUCUUGGGUGUAUGCUUUGCCUUUCUUUUUUUCAUAUAGGCUAUGUCAUCAUGUGGAUGCCAUGGAAAGAUGGACUCAAGCCUCUUUUAAGUUCAUCAUCACAAACUGAGUUUUUUUGUUGGGUACCAUCCCCUCUACUUUUAUAAUUUAUAAAUCUAGGGAGCUUAUAGCAACUUAGAGAUUGGUCAAUGAAUUUUCCCCUUUGUUUUACACAAGAGAAAACUGGCACCCCUUUUGCAAAGUGAAGUGAAUUGCUCAGUUCCUUCCUAUAGUUGGUAGUAGAAGCGGGAGGAGAAUUGAGCUCUAAUAGAAACACUCAGUCCAAAUACUUCUCUGCAAAUUUCCAGAGUCUCAUCACUCAGCUUUCUAUACACAUUUUCUCUUUUUGUUUGGGUAUGUAUGCCAGUCCCUGUGACUUUAGAAAUGAUGAGAUAUUAUAAGGCCCAUGCACAGCCCCACAAUUAUUCUCACGAACUCGGUUUUAAUGUUGGUAUGAUUUGGGUAUUAUAAAAAUUCAUGGUCCUCAAGAAGCAGCCAGCAGUUUACCUAUGGUAGCAGAUACAUUUUUGUCUAGCUUUCCCCAUUUAUUAUUUGCAUCAUGCUUGAUCAGACGGCCUCAAGAACAGCUUCUGCAUAGUGAAAGAGAAAACAAUGGUUUGAAAAUGAAAGUUUAGUGCUAAAAUGUAGCCAUAUGAAUGUUCUUUGGAAGCACUUGUUUUUAAGGACCUUGGGGACAUUCUCUGGUUGGUGUUUGUGUUAGUUUGCCAAAGCUGCAUGGAAAAGUACUACGGAUUGGGUGGCUUAAACAACAGAAAUGUAUCUUCUUAUAAUUCUGGAGGGUAAAAUCCAAGAUCAAGGUGUCAGCAGGUUUUUUUUUUUUUUUUUUUUUUUUUUUUUUUUUUUUUUUUUUUUGAGGCCUUCCUCUUUGGCUUGUAGAUGCUGUCUUCUCAAUGUAUCUUUACAUGGUCUUCCCUCUGUAACUGUCUGUCUCCUAAUAGGCUCUUCUUAUGAGGACACCAGUCACAUGGGAUUAGGGCCCACCUCAAUGACUGCAUUUUACUUAACUACCCCUGUUAAAGGCUCUCACUUUCCAAAUAUACUUACAUUCUGCAGUAUUGGGGGUUAGAACUUCAACAUAUAAAUUUUGGGGGGACACACUUCAGCUCAUAACAGUGUUAGAAUGGGAAAUGUUUAUGAAUCAAUAUUUACAAAAUGGAUAAGGAGGCUAGCAAAGCAAACACAUAAUCUCUCUGCUCAGACUCAUCACACAUCCUACCUGUGAGAGCCAAUUGUUAAAUAGUCAAGAAGUUUCCAAGAUUAAGCCAUGAAAACCAGCAAUAGCUACAUUGCUAAUUUCAAUCACCACCCUCACACUGAAAGCUAGGUUUCUUCUCUCUCUCUCUCUUUUUUUGUUUUUGAGACAGUCUUGCUCUGUCACCCAGGCUGGAGUGCAGUGAAGCAAUCUUGGUGGCUCACUGCAACCUCUGCCUCCUGGGUUCAAGUGAUUCUUCUGCCUCAGUCUCAAGAGCAGCUGGGAUUACAGGCCCCCACCACCACGCUUGGCUAAUUUUUGUAUUUUUAGUAGAGAUGGGGUUUCACCAUGUUGGCCAGGCUGUUCUUGAACUCCUGACCUCAAGUAAUCUGCCUGUCUUGGCUUCCCAAAGUGCCGGGAUUACAGGCAUGAACCACCGUGCCCAGCCAGAAAGCUAGUUUUCAAGGACACACUGCUCUAUGCCAUAUCCAUUUUUACAGUGAAGGUCACCUUGAGAAAUAAAUUAGCUUUUUCUAAAGGGAUACUUUUCCUAGGAUUGCUGUAAGUUGGGAAUAUGGUUUGGAUAUUUGCCCCCUCCAAAUUUCAUGUUGAAAUAUCAUUAGGGAAUUGCAAAUUAAAACAAUAAUGAGAUAUCACUAUGCACUUAAUAGAAUGGCCAAAAUCCAAAAAAACCUCACAAUACUAAAAGCUGGUGAGGAAGGAGAAUAGCAGGACCUCUCAUUCAUUGCUGGUGGAAAUACAAAAGAGCACAGUCACUUUGGAAAACAGUUUAGCAGGUUCUUACAAAACUAAACAUAGUAUUACCAUAUGGUACAGGAAUCAAGCUCCUCAGUAUAUAUCCAAAUGAAUUAAACUUAUGUUUCCCCCCACCCAAAACCCUGCACAAAGGCUUAUAGCAGCAGUAUUCAUAAUUGUCAAAAACCAGAAGCGGCCCAGCGUGAUGGCUCACACCUGUAAUCCCAGCACUUUUGGAGGCUGAGGUGGGUGGAUCACCUGAGGUCAGGAGUUUGAGACCAGCCUGGCCAACAUGGUGAAACCCUGUCUCUACUAAAAAUACAAAAAUUAGCCAGGCGAGGUAGCAGGUGCCUGUAAUCCCAGCUACUUGGGAGGCUGAGGCAGGAGAAUUGCUUGAACCCGGGAGGUGGAGGUUGCAGUGAGCUGAGAUCACACUACUGCACUCCAGCCUGGGCGACAACAGCGAAACUCUGUCUCAAACAAACAAACAACAACAACAACAACAAAAACCCCAGAAGCAAUCCAGAUGUUCCGCAGUAGGGAAUGGCUCAACAAACAUUGGUGCAUCCAUACAAUGGAAUAUUAUUCAGUGACAAGAAUAAACGAGCUGUCAAAUCACAAAAAGGUAUGAAGGGCUCUAAAACACAUAUUGCUAAGUGAAAGAAGCCAGUCUGAGAAGGACAUAUAUUUUAUUAUUUCACGAUGUGUUAUUCUGGAAAAGGCAAAACUGUAGAGACAGUAAAAAAUAUCAUUGAUUACCAGGAGUUAGGGAAGAAAGAAAGAAGGAUGAAGAGGUGAAGCACAGGGAAGUUUUAGUCAGUGAAAUUAUUCUCUAUAACUCUAUAAUGGUGGAUACCUGUAAUUUGUCGAAACCCAUGGAAAUGUACAACCUUAUAGUACACUAUGGACUUCAGUUAAUCGUAAAGUGUUAAUAUUGCUUCGUUGACUUUAACAAAUGUACUGCACUAAUGCAAGGUGUUAACAAUAGGGGGAACUCUGUGGGGGAGGAGAGUAUAUGAGAACUUCUUACUAACUGCUUGAUUGUUCUGCAAAUCCGAAGAUGUUCUAAAAAUAAAGCCUAUUAAUUAAAAAAACCCCAAAAUGUAAAAUAACAAUAAUGAGUGUCUGAUUUCAAUUUGCCUAUAACAUGCUUAGAAAUUCAAUUCGUUAAUUUCAGUUUUUGAAAUAAUCAGAUUGUCCAAAAGAGGGUGCCAAAGAUUUACAAAGGUAUUUUCUUUGGUUCUGUAAAAAGAAGCUAAGUAAUAAAAUAGAAUUAAUGUAAUUAAAAGCCAAGAGAACCUAAUAUAAGUCAAUGUGUCUGACUCUUAUCUACAUCUUGCCAAUGACUCCUAUCCUCCUUCCCUGGGACUCAUGUUGGAUGCGUUUUGCUUCUUGGUGCUGCUGCUUUGCUGUGUUUGAGAGUGUAAUUCACCCUCAUGAUGCACAGCAGGUGACCCUGACUCCAAAGAUACCUGCAGGGAGCUGAGCUAACCGAAAUACGCCUGCACCUUAUUUUAGGUAACGAUAGACAGAGGCUUGUAUAAGUUGGAUUUGAAUGGGAGUUUGCAAAUUGAUGUGUAUACUUUGUAAAUUUAUACUAUUUUCAGUUAUAUACACUUAGAGACAAUUUUGACUUAUUACUAUUGGGUCUUCCACUGAAAGUGGCUUUUAGCACUGUAAUCUUCAAUUGCCCUGUUUCUAGAACCCUAAAUCAAGGAGUUUAUAAUCUGUAACUAAGUAUAAAUGCAUUGACACAAUUCAUUUUUUAAGGUAUCUUUUGGUGGGCAGGGCCUGGUGGCUCAUGCCUGUAAUCCCAGCAGUCUGGGAGGCUGAGGCAGGAGGAUUGUUUGAGCCCAGGAGUUAGAGACCAGCAUAGGCAACAUAGCAACACUCUGCCUCUGCAAAAAAAUAAAGAAUUAGCCCGACAUGGCAGUGUGUAACCUGUAGUCCUGACUACUCAGGAGGCUGAGGUGGGAGGAUUGCUUGAGCCCAAGAGGUCCAGGCUACAGUGAGCCAAGAUCAUGCCACUGCGGUCCAGCCUGGGUGACAGAGCCAGACCCUAUCUCAAGUAUAUAUAUGAAUAAUUUCAUCAAGGAAUCUCCUUAAGAUAACUAUAUCACAACAAAACUAAGUUCUUUUUUUGUUAUAUUGCCUUUUUACAUUUUCAGAACAUCUUUAUUUUCUGUUGAUUGUAAAAGAAACAGACACUAAUAAAAUAAUCAGAUUAAAAAAAUUGUUUUAGGUUUGGGGUACAUACGCAGGUUUGUUAUAUAGGUAAACUCAUGUCACAGGGGUUUGCUGUACAGAUUAUUUUGUCAUCCAGGCACUAAGCCUAGUACCCAAUAGUUAUUUUUUCUUCUCUUCUCCCUCCCCCCGCCCUCCACCCUCAGGUAGGCCCCAGUGUCUGUUGUUCUUUUCUUUGUGUCCAUGAGUUCUCAUCAUUCAGCUCCCACUUAUAAGUAAAAACAUGCAGUACUUGGUUUUCUGUACAUGCAUUAAUUUGCCAAGGAUAAUGGCCUUCAGCUCCAUCUAUUUUCUCACAAAAACAUGAUCUCAUUAUUUUUUAUGGCUGCAUAGUAUUCCGUGGUAUAUAUGUACCACAUAAAAUAAUCAAAUUAAGAAACUCCAAAGUGAAAGCUUACUUAAUCUUACUUGAAGAUUUCUUACUUACUGUCAGUGAUUUGUUAUGUAACUUUCUCUUUGGUGUGUAUAUUAAGAAACAAUUUUAUUUUAUUGUGGUAAGAACACUUAACAUGAUAUCUACCCUCUUAACAAAUUUUGAAAUAUGCAAUACAGUAUUGUUUACUAAAGGUACCAUUUUGUACAGCAAAUCUCUAGAACUUAUUCAUAUUGCUCAACAGGGAGGGGCUUGUGUAACCUUCUGAAUGUUUACAUAUGUGUUUAGAAUGUAAAUGGCUUACAUUAUCCAUAUUCUCCAGUGAUAUACUUUCCACAUCUAAUGAUGAAUGUCUGUCUUAUAUAACAUCAUUCUUUCUUUGCAAUGGAUGCCUAUGAUUCCCUUUUAUGGAUGUAUUACACUUUGUUUAGUCAAUACCCUAUUACACAAUUUAUUUAGUUCUUUCUUUUGUUUUUGUUUUUGCUAUUAACAGUAUUGAUUUAAUAAAAAGCCUUACAAACCCAUAUUUAUGGAUUCGUGCUAUUAUCUCUGUUUAACUAAUUCCUGAAUUGAAAUUCUAAGUUUAAAUAUAAGCAUAUUUAUAUAUAUAUUUUAAUUUUUAAUUUUUUGUGGAUAUAUAGUGGGUAUAUAUAUUUAUGGGAUGUGUGAGAUGUUUUGAUACAGGCAUGCAAUACAUAAUAAUCACAUCAUAGAGAAUGGGGUAUCCAUCCUUUCAAACAUUUAUGCUUUGUGUUACAAGCAAUCCAAUUAUACUCUUUUAGUUAUUAAAAAUGUACAAUUAAGUUAUUAUAGACUAUGGUCACCCUAUUGUUCUAUCAAGUAGUAGGUCUCAUUCAUUCUAUUUUUUUUUGUACUCAUUAACCAUUCCCACCUCCUCCCCAUUCUUUCCUCUUCCCUUCCCAGCCUCUGGUAACCAUCCUUCUGCUCUCUAUGUUCGUGAAUUCAAUUGUUUUGAUUUUUAGAUCCCAUAAAUAAGUGAGAACAUGUGCUGUUUGUUUUUCUGUGCCUGGUUUAUUUCACUUAACAUAAUGAUCUGCAUAUAUUUUGAUAGGCAUUACCAUCCACUAUCUGAUAAGUUUUACAGAUUCAGUCCUGUAAUUUAAUGAUGGGGAUAUGUUCUGGGAAAUGUGUCCUUAGAUGAUUUUGUUGUUGUGUGAACAUCAAAGAGUGUAUAUAGUAUUUAUGUAAACCUAGAUUGUGUAGCCUACUACACACCUAGGUUAUGUGGUAUAGCCUAUUGUUCCUAGGCUACAAACCUAUACAGCAUGCUACUUACUGAAUAAUGUAGGAAGUUAUAACGCAAAUCACUAAGCCACAGGAAUUUUUCAGCUCCAUUUUCAUCUUAUGGGACCACCGCGGUAUAUGCGGUUUGUUUUUGACUGAAAUGCUCUUAUGUGGCACAUGAGUGUAUAAAAACCCACUCACAUGAGUGUUCCUCUGGGGUUUUCUUAAAGUGGAGAACAACUGCAUCUAAGAAUGAAUCAUUUUAGAUCAGGGCUGUCUAGGAUUGAAAUGUCCCAGGAUCAGACAGCAUCCAGAAUAGCAUUUACCUUUUCUGGUAUAUGCUGCAAAAUAAUUGCCACAAGUAUCAUUGACGAUUUGCAUUCUUGGUAUAUCUAUGUAAAGGAGAUGUCCUUCGACUGACAGCUGGCAAUACUUCUUGCAGAUCUCAGAGCUAACUGCAUGUUGAGGUUCAGCAUCCACUCUGGUGAUUUGGUGAUUUGAGUUUUCAGAUCUUGAGCUGUGUAAUUUCAGGAGGCUUUCUUCUCUGUCGGAAGGAAGACUGGAGUGAUGCAAUUAUCCUAUUGGAGUACAUUUCCUUUCAAUUCUGUUCUCAAAAUAUAUUUUUUUCCAGAAGAAAAAAUUAGCGUCAUUUUUAUUGGGCAGGGGAGGGGUAGGAAGGGGAUUUGGAUAAAAAGAGUAGAACCAUUCAUCUGCUUGUAUUCCUUUUCAGAAGACGUGGUUAAAGUUUUUCCUAGUCAUUUUUACAUCUUUUUUAUGGGAAGGGAUUGUGUUACAGUACACAUUUUAUUUUGCCAAGUGAGCUGUUACAGUGCAUACCAACAUACACACACACUACCCACAUUCCUUCAAGAAGCAACUAACACUAUCAACAUCAUUUAAAUAACAAAAUAGUAAUAUUAUUAUUAUUAAGUCCAUUGUUUAUUAGCUCUUUGACCUUGGUUAGGUUAUCAUAUCACUCUGUUCAUCUAUAAAAUAGAGUAACUGUGAAUAUCAAGUGAGAUAUGUAUAAUGCAUAGCACAUGGUAAAUAGUAUAUGUAAGUAUAUUCUUAUUUUUUGUCAUUAAAGUUUCCUUUAAGGAAAGAUAUGGGACUUGUGAUAUAAUAAGCAAUAUUUAUUUGGUCAUCUCUGCUCCAGUUCCUGGCACAGAACUUCUAAAACUCUUGUAAUUUCCUGAGUAGAUGGGGUGCCAGGAUGAUCUUUUGUUUCACUAUUUGGUCUCUAACCCUUGUUCCUAACAGAAACCCUAAAUCUCUUGGUAUUUCCUGGGCAAUAGCAGCAUCUUUUAUUCUAAUGAACCAACUUUUGGUGGGCUCCUGAAUGGAGAGAGAGAGCUCUCUCCCUCUCUCUUUGUGCCUGUGUGUGUGUGUGUGUGUGUGUGUGUGUGUCUACAUUUGGGAUAAUAAGUACCUAAACUGCCCACAUAUUGUCCUUGCUUGAUAUGUUUUCUAAGUCUCUUUGAAUCUAUAGAUUUUACCUUUUUCAUUUUUUGUUUUAAUUGUCAUCAGAAAGACAAGACACAGAAGUUUGAAACUUUCAGCCUCACCCCACCUCCUCUUGGGGAAAGAAGAUCGGGUUAAUAAUGGAUCAUGAUUACCUGAUUAAGCCUCCAUAAUAAUCUCUAAAGUACUGAGCACUUGGUGCUUCUGGGUUGGUGAACACAUCCAGGUAUUGGGAGGAUGGUGCACCCCAACUCCAUGGGCACAGAAGCUCCUGCCCUUGAGACCCUUUCAGACCUUUCCCUAUAUCCUCUUCAUCUGUAUCCUUGAUCGUAUCCUGUAUAAUAAACCAGUAAACCUAAGUGUUUCCCUGAAUUCUGUGAGCCAUCAGCAAACUAUGAAACCUGAGGAAGGAGCCAUGCGAACCCCCAAUUUGUAGCCAAGCUGAACAGAAGUGUGGGUAAUCUGGGGACCUACUACUUGGGAGUGGCAUUCGAAGUGGAAGGCAGUCUUGUGGGACCGAGCCCUUGUCCUGUGGGGGGUGCACUAACCCCAGGUAGUUAGCAUCAUGAUUGAAUUGUAGGACACCCACUUUGGUGUUCAGAGAGCUGGAGAAUCGGUUGGUGUGGGGAGAAAUCCCUUCAUGUUGAAUGUAGUAGAGAAAACGUCUGCUUUUCUCAUACACCUCUGCUUGUAUUCAUCUUUCUAUCUUCGCUUGGGUUCUCCCAGAAGCAAACUCUGAGCCAAAGAGUUGGGAAGCACAAGGGACACGGGUAAAAUAAUACACGGAAGGGCUGAUACAAGGAAUACAGGAAUGAUGCAAGGCAGCCAGAUACAGGGGGAGCUUUAAGGCCAGUGCCCGCAGUUGGCUGCUGGGGCGUUACCCCAUGGGGAAGCUCUGGGAAGCAGUGCAAAGCACAGACCUCGGAAUUUACUAGUGGAUGGGUUAUGAAGCUGUGGGAUUUGGGCAACAACUCCUGGCAGUCAUUUGUGAGGAUUAUUCCUUGGGCAGUGAUUUCCUCAGCUCUCCCAGCCUGUCAUGCACGUGUGCAGACAGAGAGGCCCACAGGUACCGUGAUGCAGGUUCAGGCCGCGGGAAGCCGGCAGGAACAUCUUGAAAGGUGAGGCGCUAAUAAUACUGCUACAGCCGUGGACUCUUGAACACCUAGCCUGUAAGACCACUUAGGAACCACCGGGGAAAGCCAGAAGUCUCUUAUCUUUUUCCCUUUUUUCACAGGUGGAGCAAGUGAAUUAAUUAGGUUGUACAAAAGGCUGCAUUUUCUAUAUAUCAUGUUCAGUUCUAAACAGAAUCUACUCAGCCUUUUGGAAUAAAAAAUAGUCUGUGGUUCUGGACCACAAGCAUGUAUUUUCUUUUUUGUUUAUUUAAAUUUUUUUUAUUAUGGAAAAUUUCAAACAUAUAUAAAGAUAAAGUGAGUAGCUUAAUGAUUAAUCACAUAUUCAUCACUUGGAUUCAUCUUGUUCCGUAAAUAAACCCAUCUAUGUCCCACACCACUCCCUACUGGAUGAAUUUUAAGUAAAAUAUAUCAUUUCAUCCAUGAAUAUUUCAGUGUACAUCUAUAUAAUACAAAAAUAAUUUCACUAUUCUGAUUAUUAACAAUAAUUAAUCAGUAUAAUUAAAUAUCUAGUUCUCGUAUAAAUUUUCAUGUCUUUUUUUUUCUCCUCCUUCUUUCUGUCUCUCUCUGUGCCUGUGGGGUAUGUGUGUGUGUGUGUGUGUGUGUGUGCAUCUACAUUUGGGAUAAUAAGUACCUAAACUUAUUGUCCUUGGUGGAUAUGUUUUCUAAGUCUCUUUGAAUCUAUAGAUUUUACCUUUUUCAUUUUUUUGUUUUAAUUUAUUUAUUGAAAAACCAGACUAGUUGCCCUGUAGAAUUUCCACUACUUUGAGUUUUACUAAUUGCAUUUUUUUACUAAUUGCAUUACAGGAGUGAGCCACUGCGCCUGGCUGAUCAUCUAGUUUUGUGUAGUUCCUGCUCUAGACCUGUAAUCAGCCAUUUUUUCCAAAGUGCUUUAAUUUUUAAACAAAAAGUUGAUGUUUACUUACAUUUAGACAGCAAAAUCUGUGUGCUUAAGGUGUUCAGUACUGCUUGGUUGAUCUUUGUUUCUAUGCUUUUUUUAAGUGGCCAAUUCUUUAAUUGAUUUGACAACAACCAUUAACAACAAUUUUCACUGAUGACCUUGCUGUAGUGACAUAUCAUGAGUCAUAUAUUAUCUUCAUUGAUAGUGCUUUAUGUUUAUUUAGCAAGAAAUUAAUAAGAGCUUACAUAAAUGUGAUUCGGUAAGAUCAUUUUAGCCCGAGGAAAGAGCAUGAACAAAACCACAACCUGGAAAAUGCAAGAAAUCCAAUUUGACAGAGUUGUUUGUACAGGUAGGAAAGUGGUGGGUACUAAAGUCUAGAAAAAGUGUGUUGGAGCUGGGGAGAAGUGCCAAAGGCUGCCAAGUAGCUGAGCAUAGAGCAUCGUAUCUUUUUUUCUUUUUCUUUUCUUUUUUUUUUUUUUUUUGACGUAGGGUCUCACUUUGUCACCCAUGCUGGAGUGCAGUGGUGUAAACGCAGCUCACUGCAGCCUCAACCUACCAGGCUCAAGCAAUCCUCCCACCUCAGUCCCCCAGGUAGCUGGGACUACAGAUGCCUGCCAUCAUGCCUGGCUAAUUUUUGUAUUUUUUGUAGAGAAAGAGUUUUUAUAAAGACCAGCCCAGGCUGGUCUUGAACUUCUGAGCUCAAGCGAUCUGUCCACCUUGGCCUCCCAAAGUGCUGGGAUUACAGGCAUGAGCCACCGUGCCUAGCCCUGAGCAUCAUAUCAGGGCUAGGCAUGGUGGCUCAUGCCUGUAAUCACAGACCUGUUGAUGGAUCACGAAGAAUAUGAUGGGCAGCAGAUGAUAUGAUAUGCCAGCUUUGGAAUCGCACAGACCUGGGCUUUAAUCCUAGCUUUGCCAAUUAUUGGACAAGCAAAAGCUUAAUUUUAUUUAGGUGAUGAUAAACCACACAAAUAUUCCACUAAAGCAAAGCAGGAUGUAUGAUCAUCUAUUACCACCUUAUAUCAUUUAAUCCAGACUUCAAAUUGUCCAUGGUCACUCUGCUACCACUUUAGCGAUGGGAAGUACAAGGAGGAAAAAUCAGAGAGAAAAGAGAGAGCAGUCUCUUCAAUUAUAAAUAAAAUAUGUCUGCAAAUUGUAAAACAUUGGACCAUGUGGACAUAUUGCUAGAGCUGUCUCAAAUGAGAGACCUUGAAAGUUAAGUCUUAUUGGUUUCAUGGUCACUCAGCUUUGAGGAUGAGGAAAGGAGAAGAACAAGGACUUCUGCCUUGAGUCACUUUUCCUUAAUGAGGGCAGCAGAAACCCUGGAAGCAUUUCAGAAGAUAGUACCUGUCAGGCUUCCUGGCCCCUCAUUGACUCUCAGUUUUAUACCCACACACACACCCACACUCACUCCUGUGGAUUUUCUUAGCUCUAAACCAGUAAGGAGAAAAUCUUAAUGAAUGGUAUUCUGUACACUAAUGCACACAGAGAAGGUCCACUUUAAACCUGAUCUUGAUAAAAUUGUGGUUUAUCAUUUCUCUUAACUCUUUAUGGAGUUACUGAGCUAAGAUGUACUCAUCUUUGUGCUGAGUGAUUUGGGGUUCACAGACACGAUGACCAGAGGGAUCAUCAGGUCUUUAAGGCAAGAAGAACCUAGAGACUCGUAAGACAACUCUCUCAUUUCACAGAUGAAGAUACUAAUACCCCCAAGAAAUUUAUAAUCUUAUAUGAGAGGAUUAAAAAAAACUUGAAAUAAUUAAAUAGUAAUCUACAAUGUCACAGGAUGAAGUUCUCCAUUUUAUAUGGGUUAUAUGUGCUCUAGGAGUCCAACGAGGCAUCCAUUGCAGUAGCCAUCAAUGGAGAGAGAUAAGAGCCUUGACAUUUACUGAGGGUAUAAAGUGUGUAAGCGGUUUUAUCCGUGUGAUCUUGGGUCUAAUAUUUGCCCAGGGGAUUAAAGAAUAAGACAGAAGUAUCUGACAGAACUUGGGAAGUUUAAGAAAAUGCUCAAAUGUAGAAAACUAUGGCUUGUCUGGAAGAUGGUGGUGGAGAAUUGGGAUGAACAUUUGGAUAGAAAAGAAACAAAUGUAUGAGAAUGAGACAGUCAUGAGUAUGAACCAGGAUCCCCAGCAAAGGUUAGCAAUCACUGGUUUGGCAGUUAAAAUUUGUAUUUUAGAAAGAAUAGCUCAGCAAUUACUGCAGUCACAGAUAAUUUCAUAGCUGCCCUUGUCCCCAAGAGAGCUUAAACCUUCAAGAUCACAAAAACAGAUCAAUUUAGCUAUUAAUAUACAUUAAACUAAUGCAUUAAUUGCAUAAAAUGACUUUACAUACAAAAUUUAAAUGGUUUUACUAUAAUUAGUGGGCAGAAAGGUCCACUGAGCACCUAUUGUCACUCAAAUUUAAAUCUUCACAUAAAAUUCUGUUAAGAUGGUUCAAAAAUGUAACCAUGGCUUGUCAUCAGUUACCUGCAUUAAUAUUGUCAUGCACAUUUUAAGAACAAAUAUUGCCAUGUCUUAAGAAUUAUUAGUGAUCCCUUUAGACUGUGAGCACUCUGGUAGCAGACACUAGCAUGCUGAUUUAUUAUGCCAUUUCUCUCUCAAAAGACAAAAACAAAAAAACAAAACAAAAAAAAACCUCCAAACCUUUAAAACCAAACUCUCUCUCUCUCUAACACACACACACACACACGCACGCACACACAUACACAUAUGUUUUCAUUGUAUAUAAUCUGUUGUAGCACACUGUUAAUAUAUGUUUUCCUCCUACUCUAAGGGCUAUCCCUGUGCUCGCAGCCAAUGUGAGCUAGCCCAUAUUUUUCUCUGUUUGACCUUCUGGGACCAUGAGUGGUGCAAUGCUCUUGGCUUAUGAGUGCUCUACUACUCUGUACAGAGGAUGUGGUUUUCUAGCUGCUGUUGUUAAGAGCUAUUUACUACACAGUGACCUUUCUUUCUGCAGUUUAUUUUGUGUUCUAGUGAACAUUUUUGACCCAUAAAGGCUGGUAAAAUUGUGCAAAUGAUAGACGUAAACUUGCCCCAAAGGAACAAAGGAUUCUGUCAUGCACAUUUGGUAGAGUGUCAUGACCGACAGAAAUUAGGGAUUAAUGGAAAUCCUUAUGGAGGUCAUAAACAUCACCGCAGCCUAAAGGAAUCAGGCCACUGUUUGGACAGGGACCUGGAGAAAUUGAUGGCAAGAGGCAUGACAUGAUUCCUGGGAACCUGGAGGGUCUUUGCUAAUGGCCCACCCCAGGAAUGCAUCUUGGGGCGGGGGUACAUAUGUAGCGUGGUGAAAGUGGGGCUAGGGCUGGAGCUGGCGCUGACUUUGGAAGAAGUACUGAGGCUAUGGGGACAAGCUUGGCACAGCCCAGUGCACAUUCUAACCUCUCCUACUCAAUCUUUAUAAAGAAGGAAACCUGUCCCUCCAAGAGUCCUGUAAUGAGAGUGUUGAUAGACUAGAAUUGAGUGACAACAGUCCCCCCCAACCCCAAUAAGAAGAGCUGAGAGAGAUGAUUUUACAGUAUUUCCUCUCAUCAAAGUAACGCAGGCUUGACUCUCGCUUCCUGACACAGAAAAUUGCAUUUUGUCACCCAUUUGUCAGUUCUUACAGAUUUUAAGAUAAUUAAAGAACAUUAUAGCAGGUGACAGCUGUUGCCGAAUGCCGUGUUGCUAGUUCUUCUGCUCGUUGGAUGCCCAUGAAUCUCGAAUGAUGAUAGCUUGGUGCUCCAGGUUUAAUUAGCUGGUUGUUUGGAAUCUGUCUAGGCUCUCAGGUGUGGGGUGAGCAGGCUUGCAGUUUGUCGAAUCUGAGCUGUGCUCAUCACUGGCUGUUGGAACUGGGUUUGAUCAGCUCACGGAAGAGCCAGCUGGGGGUGCCCUGAGUGUUAUCAGACAAGGGCAUCAAAGGAAUGAGGAAUGCAGGGUUUUGGUGAUGGCUAUUAAGAGAAUCCCACGCUGAUUGGUUUCCUGAUGUUCUUGCAUCAAAUCAGGCUUUUGUUUUCAAAUUUAUUUUCUGAUCACAUCUCCUUCGAGGCCAUCUCUUUUGUUAUACAGCACAGCGAUCAUACUCCAUCGGGAUUUAUCUCCAAGUUCGUUUGUCAAAAACUCCCUCACAUGCAGGGGGAGAACUAAGUGGUCUCGACCCUGGCUUUUAAGUUCGCCCUCACCCCCAAAUCAUACAUGUUUUCAAGCUUGUCUGAAAACACAAAAGUGGUUUCAGGAAUAAUUUUUAAAAUUAUCCUUAACUUACACAAAAAGUUCAUUUCUAACAAUAUACCGUGAAUCAUUACGAGUGAUACAGUAGAAGUACAUCCGUUUCUAUUUUAGAACUGCAGGGAAAGUCUUGUGCUUAUAGAAACAACUUACAGUCCCUCAGAUCACAUGCAUUCUUUCAGCCUUUGCUUUCACACCAUUCUGCCUUGAAAUUUUUCUUACUUUUGUACACCAGACAAAUUCAUGCUCAUUUCAAAUUUUUAAAAAAAUUAUUUUUGUUUUUUUGUGGGUAUAUAGUAGGUGUGCAUAUUUAUGGGGUACAUGAGAUGUUUUGAUACAAGCAUGCAGUGUGAAAUAAGGUAUUGGCACACAGGCCACCUUUUUGAAACCUUCUUAGAUUCCACCUCGUGGAUCUAGGCCCUUUUCUGUUCGCUUCUGCUUCCUGUGCUCUUUGCGUGCAAGUUUCUCUAUACAGAAUCAAAGCCAUUGAUAUAGCAUAUGGUCUACAUUCACUUGACUUGAUUAUUUCAUUGUCUUCAACACAAUUUUUCUUUCUUUUCCUUUUUUAAAAUGAUUUAUUUAUUUUUUUGAGAUGGAAUCUUGCCCUGCCACCCAGGCUGGAGGGUAGUGGCACCAUCUCAGCUCACUGCAACCUCUGUCUCCCAGGUUCAAGUGAUUCUCCACCCUCAGCCUCCUGAGUAGCUGGGGCUACAGGCAUGUGCUGUUUUUAUUUUUUUAUGGGUACAUAGUAGGUGUAUAUAUUUACGGGGUACCUGAGGCAUUUUGAUAUAGGGAUACAAUGUGUAAUAAUCACAUCAAGGUAAAUGGGGUAUCCAUCACCUCAAGCAUUUAUCAUUUCUUUGUGUUACAAACAUUUCGAUUACACUCUUUUUGUUAUUUCAAAAUGUACAAUAAAUUGUUGUUGAAUGUAGUCACCCUGUUGCGUUAUCAAAUACUAGAUCUUAUUCAUUCUAUCUAACUGCAUUUUCAUACCCAUUAACCUUCCCCACUUCCCCCGCUCCCCCACUACCCUUCCCAACCUCUAGUAACCAUCAUUUUCCUCUCUAUCUCUAUGAGUUUAAUUAUUUUAAUUUUUAGUUUCCAAAAGUGAGUGAGAACAUGUGAAGUUUGUCUUUCUGUGCCUGGCUUAUUUCACUUAACAUAGUGCCCUCCAGUUCCAUCCAUGUUGUUGCAAAUGACAGGACCUCAUUCUUUUUUUUUAUGGCAGAAUAGUACUCCAUUGCAUGUAUGUGCCACAUAUUCUUUAUCGAUUCAUCUGUUGAUGGACACUUAGGUUGCUUCCAGGUCUUGGCUGUUGUGAAUAACGCUGCCAUAAACACGGGAGUGCAGAUAUCCUUCGACAUGCUGAUUUCAUUUCCUUUGGAUAAAUAACCAGUUGUAGGAUUGCUGGAUCAUAUGGUAGUUCUAUUUUAAGUUUUUUUGAGGAACCUCUAAAUUGUUCUCCAUAGUAGUUGUACUAAUUUACAUUCCUACCAACAGUGUACAAGGGUUCCCUUUUCUCCCCACCUCACCAGCAUUCAUUAUUUCCUGUCUUUUGGAUAAAAGCCAUUUUAACUGCGGUGAGAUAAUAUCUUACUGUAUUUUGAUUUGCAUUUCUCUCCUGAUCAAUGAUGUUGAACAGUUUUUCAUAUGCCUGUUUGCCAUUCAUAUGUCUUCUUUUGUGAAAUGUCUAUUUGGAUCCUUUGCCCAUUUUUAAAUGGGAUUAUUAUAUUUUUUUCCCCUAUAGAGUUGUUUGAUAUUCUGGUUGCUAAUCCUUUGUCAGAUGAAUAGUUUGCAAAUGUUUUCUCCCUCAUUGUCUUCAACACAACUUUACUAUUUCAUGAGACUCUUUUUGAGGAAGAUACAAGUUGUAAAUAAUUUUAUUUUUUAUUCCAAGGAUUUACAGAGUCCUAUCAACUUAAUAGAGUGCAUCAGUGAACAGUUUACAAAGGACUCUUUGAACCCUUUGCUUCAAAAAUCUUGCACUACUGUGUUCACCAAUCCUAAACUAUGAUCCUUACUCAAUUCUAAUCAGGCCUCUAUAUUGAAAGACCUGCUUUAAACUAGAGUUAAAAGUCUUGUUGAAGAUCUUGGCUGGGCGUGGUGGCUCAUGCCUGUAAUCGCAGCACUUUGGGAGGCCGAGGAGGGUGGAUCAUCUGAGGUCAGGAGUUUGAGACCAGCCUGACCAACAUGGUGACACCCUGUCUCUACUAAAUAAAUAUAAAAAAAUUAGCUGGGUUUGGUGGCGCAUGCCUGUAAUCCCAGCUACUUGGGAGGCUGAGGCAGGAGAAUUGCUUCAACCCAGGAGUCGGAGGUUGCAGUGAGCCGAGAUCAUGCCACUGCACCCCAGCCUGAACAACAAGAACGAAACUCCAUCUCGAAAAAAAAAAAAAAAAUUUUGACUUUGCCCUAUCCUCUCUAGGAUAUUACUAAGGCUCUGUUGACCUACUGUUCUCCCUUACCAUGGCAAGCAGUAACUCAGCUUUGUUUUAUCAACGCAUGCUUUGGUGAUACUUUGGGGGAACCAGCAUUUGACACCAUGACAGCCCAUGCUACUUUGUCUUUUACUUGAUUGUGUCUCUCUUCCCUGUUUACCAUGAACUCUUGAGGAUAAGAAUUAUGUCUUUACCCUCCUGCCUAUCCUGGGGUCUUAUGUGUAACAAAGAGCCUAAGAAAUAAAUAUGCAUCUCUUGGAAAAUGGAAUUAGUGAGAUGGAGAGGAAGCUAAUGUCUUGAUACAUAGAGAAAGCAUACUGCUUGACCACAUUCAAACUUGUUCAGUGCUUUUCCGAGUCCUUUUCAGCCUGAGUUUUAACAAUCUUUAUGUUUAGCCCCAAUCCAUCCAUCUAACUGUAUUUCCAACACAUUCUCCCCUCCUGUAAACCAAUCUUCCUUAUUGGGCCAUGCACUUAUGCACCUACAGGUAUCCACGUAUUCUGUUUCAUGUGCCAGGAAUGUCUGAUGCUAAACUUUGUGCAAAAUUUAAGAUCAAAUUAAUUCUAAAUUCUCUAGGUAGUCCUCAAUUUCUCUACUACAUUCGAUUCUGUUUUUACUUUUAACUUUUAUAGUAUUGUUGUGGCCAGAACCUCAUUUUUUUUUUUGGCACUGUUCUCAUAUAACUGAUAUUUAUUCAGUUAAUUUUGAUAUUGAAUUCAGGUGCAAGAUCCUUGAAGGGGUGGGUUGCCCCUCCACACCUGUGGGUGUUUCUCGUUAGGUGGAAUGAGAGACUUGGAAAAGAAAGAGACACAGAGACAAAGUAUAGAGAAAGAAAAGUGGGCCCAGGGGACCGGCGUUCAGCAUACGGAGGAUCCACGGCAGCACCGGCCUCUGGGUUCCCUUAGUAUUUAUUGAUCAUUAACGGGCGUGGCAGGAUAAUAGGAUAAUAGUGGAGAGAAGGUCAGAAAGUAAACACGUGAACAAAUGCCUCUGCAUCAUAAGCAAGGUAAAGAAAAAAGGCCGGGCGCGGUGGCUCACGCCUGUAAUCCCAGCACUUUGGGAGGCCGAGGCGGGUGGAUCAUGAGGUCAGGAGAUCCAGACCAUCCUGGCUAACAAGGUGAAACCCCGUCUCUACUAAAAAUACAAAAAAUUAGCCGGGCGUGGUGGCGGGCGCCUGUAGUCCCAGCUACUCGGGAGGCUGAGGCAGGAGAAUGGCGUGAACCCGGGAAGCGGAGCUUGCAGUGAGCCGAGAUUGCGCCACUGCAGUCCGCAGUCUGGCCUGGGCAACAGAGCGAGACUCCAUCUCAAAAAAAAAAAAAAAAAGUACUCUGCUUUUGAUGUGCAUAUACAUAAACAUCUCAAUGCCUCAAGGAGCAGUAUUGCUGCCAGCAUGUCCCACCUCCAGCCCUAAGGCGGUUUUCCCCUAUCUCAGUAGAUGGAAUACACAAUCGGCUUUAUACUGAGACAUUACAUUGCCCAGGGAUGAGCAGGAGACAGAAGCCUUCCUCUUAUCUCAACUGCAAAGAGGCGUUCCUUCCUCUUUUACUAAUCCUCCUCAGCACAGACCCUUUACGGGUGUCGGGCUGGGGGACGGUCAGGUCUUUCCCUUCCCACGAGGCCAUAUUUCAGACUAUCACAUGGGGAGAAACCUUGGACAAUACCUGGCUUUCCUAGGCAGAGGUCCCUGCAGCCUUCCGCAGUGUUUUGUGUCUCUGGGUACUUGAGAUUAGGGAGUGGUUUGAGAUUAGGGAGUAGUUUGAGAUUAGGGAGUGGUGAUGACUCUUAAUAAGCAUGCUGCCUUCAAACAUUUGUUUAACAAAACACACCCUGCACAGCCCUUAAUCCAUUUAACCCUGAGUUGACAGAGCACAUGUUUCAGGGAGCACAGGGUUGGGGGUAGGGUUACAGAUUAACAGCAUCUCAAGACAGAAUUUUUCUUAGUACAGAACAAAAUGGAGUCUCCUAUGUCUACUUCUUUCUACACAGACACAGUAACAAUCUGAUCUCUCUUUCUUUUCCCCACAAUCCUCUACUCAUCAUUCAGUAAUUUACUCAACUAAUGUUUAUAGAAACCCACUAUGGCAAUCUACUUGAUAAUACAAGGGAUGCAGCAAUGAUUAAGACAGCAUGAUCUUGUACAUUUUUAGUUUUUUUUUUUUUUUAAGUAUCCACAAGUUCCUUAGCACAUGGCCAAGUAAAACAUCAAUGCUCAGCCAACUCUUUUGGUUAUUUGGUUCUUCCUCCAGACCUUCUUCACAUUCAUCAAAGCUUUCAUGUAACCACAGGGAGGCUGGCUUGUUAUUUUGUGCCCAGUUUUAUUGAAUAUUCUAUCAACCUUGCUAAAAAGAAACUUACCGUAGAGAAACUUAACAUCAGUUACCAUAGUUGCUGAAAAUUUUGAUUAUCUGGAGUAAGAAAUGGUAAACAAAAAGUGAGAUUAAAUUGACCUAAAAUACAUAAGAUGGUAUAGGACUUUGAAUGUUGGCUGGUGAGGGGUGGAGAGAGAAGCAGGAAAGUGCAGGGGCUAGUUAGUAGAACAAGCAAAGGCCAAGUUGGCUUCAAAUAAAGUGGCUAAGUGUCCACAACAUUGUCCAUAAGGAAAGGGCUGAAGAAAGCAGUUUCCUAGCCAACUAUGCCAUUGCAUGGGGCUGCUUUGUGGGGAUCUUUAGGUAGUGAAAAUAUUCGUCAUCAAUGGAUGGUUCAGAGUUCCCAAGGUUAUGUCUUCUUUGAAAUUGUGUCUGAUGUUACAGGUGCACAUACUGGCCUCUGGGAAAAGGGGACGUCAAGGGCGGGAGGAGGAGCUGGCUAGGUUCAUUGUUGGAAAUCUAUCCACAUGAGAGCAAGUUCAAGGAGGACCCUAGACCCUGUAGGGAAGACAGAAUAUCAUCAGGAAAAGAAAGAAUAGUUGCAUUCUUUUUUUUUUUUAUUAUACUUUUAGUUUUAGGGUACAUGUGCUAAUAUCCAGAAUCUACAAAGAACUCAAACAAAUUUACAAGAAAAAAACAAACAACCCCAUCAACAAGUUGCAUUCUUUAGGAGUCAAUUUGAAGGGAAAAUGCUAAAUAAGCAUGCCAUACCCAACACUUUCUUGGACUGGGGAAGCAAGACUAUUGGCAACCACGCAGACAUGGUGCUGGUGCAUUUAUUACCACAUAUAUAGAUAGGUUUGGCAGAAUCGGCUCCACCUUUGAGUGGGGUAGAGGUAGAGUUGCAGGUCAAAGGCUUUUUCAUACCCAGAGGAACGCUGAAAGUAAUAGGAGAAACCGGGACCAGCAGGCAUUGACAUUGUAACAGUUUAGUCCUUUUCCAUUUUUUCUCUUUUGACACGACUAGAAUAGUUUACAUUAUUUUGUCUUUCUUCUUCUCAUGCGGAAGGUAGGGAAAUUACUUAGCUGUGAAAUGACUCAUGCAGAAACAAAGAUCAAAUAUGAAGGGAAAGCAAGGAAAAUAAAUAUAAAUGUAUUGGAUAGCCAACUCCUGAAUAUUGAAGGCAAAAAAACAAAACAAAACAAAAAAUCCACAAAAAACCCAUGGGCAUUAUUUUGAGAAUGAAAUAGUGUGCUGAUGGAAGAUCAGGUGGUUUCACCAGAAUUUGGAUUAGUGUUCAUGUGAGUGAACCCUUCUUCCAACUUACAAAUAAUUUAAGAAAAGAUAAUACACAACGAAGAUCAAUAUGCAGUCAUUGAAGCAGAAAUUAUUGGAAUAGUGCAAAUUGGAGCAUUCAGAAGAAAAACUGUAUUACAAUUCCUCUUUCAUUGUAUAUGAACCUAUUAAAACAAUUUGCAACUUUCAUUUACCAGAAUAACACUCCCUCCCAUAAACAAGUAUUGGCACCAACUCAAUCACAUUCGCUAUAUUCUGAGUAGUGUUAAUUUAUUUUUUUCUUACAUCACUGAUUGCCACAGUAUAUUCACUUUGAUUUUAAAAACCCAGAACACAACUUAAUUUUAACAAAUAAUGUAAUUUAAAAGAACUAUUUAUUGAGUCCUAUACUAAAUUGUAUUUUUUCCCAUAGAGUAUUGCCAUAGAGUAUUGAAUUUUCAAACUUUGUUCCUAUUACUUCCAGCUUUUUUUUUUUUUCCCACUAGGACUUUUCCAUCCUUUUAUCUGAAAGAAACAAUCCCUUCUCAGUUUUCUUAUUAAAAAUAUUUUACCUAUAACUGAUCAGAGCGCAGUCAUCCUAAAAGCAGAUUUAUUCAGAAGACAGAUAAUAAUCCAGUUGCUGAGAAACUAAAUGGAUAAAUUAGUUCUUAAUUCUGAUAUACUCUGCUUUAACACACAUUGGCCAUGUCUGAAAUUUUUUUCUGAAGGUCAUUUAUAUUGUCCAUAUCUGCACUUUCUGUUUUCUCUUACGGGAGUCAGGCUCUGAUGAGGUAAAAUAUAAGGCAUUCCCGGAGACAUUAUGCUCUGGUUACAAAGCAGAAGACUGGUCAUUUCAAAUCCUCCCUUCUACUUUUGGCAGAUGGCUGUGGGAUUGCAAAACUAGUAGGAGCUGUUUGUGACUCAGUUUUUCCAACUCUUAAAAAGGGAAUAAUGUAUCAAAAUCCAUCUUGCACUUACAGAAAUUUGUGGAGAAUAUGUGAAAUAAUUUGAUAAUUUCUAUAAAAAUGCUUUCUAUGUUUUGUUGAAACUCUUCUAUUUUAAAAUUUCAUACUAUUCUCAGACAAUAAAAUGGUGAAAUUAAAGUGGACUUGAUUACCAAGCUUAUUUUUAUAAGAUAAAAAACCGCAUAUCUGACAUUUACUAUAGCUUUGAAAACAAAACUUUGUUCAAAUGAAUAAUUUUCUGUGGAAAGCAUGAAAAAGAGGCUUUUCGAAAUGAUAACUAAAAUAAUUAUUACCUUUUUGAACUUAUAACCACAGCAUGACCAUAGUAUAAAAUGAAAAAAAAAGGCAAAAGCCAUAAUCAUUAAUAACCCUUCCAAUAAUCAAUCUAACAAGAAUGUUACUGAUGGAAAAAAUUGGCUUAGAAAGUACAUGCUUAGUAUUUAGUAGUCUCAAUAUUACUGCCAUUAUUACAACAAUAGAGCAUGCAUUAAAUUGUAAAUCAAGCAUAGUGUAUACUUACUUGGGGGAGAGGACAUACUGUGAGUGAUGCAAAAUGAUUCUUCUAACAGCCUUAGGUUAUAACAAUGAGCAGGCAUUCCAUAGAAGCUCAAAGCAGGAGGUGCAUCCUAGCUUUCAGUUGUUAAGAGGAUGACAUGGGCUCUCUUUUGAUUUGGCCAAUGCUCUGGUAUUUUAGAGUGUACAAGAAGAACAUGCAUGACUACUGGGUGAGUUUUAGAAUGGCUUCAUCCAUUUGGAAUGGGAAUGCAUUAGGUGAUCUGAAAAAAAAAUCUCUUCCAGUGUUGACAUUCUAUGAUUCUAGUCUUUUUGGAAAGAAAUUCAUAGAUUUGAUACUUGUACCUCAGGACCGUAUACUCUAUAGCAGACACAGAGGUACAUAUGUGGAGAGUUGUUCACCCGUAGAACUGGAUACAUUUUCAUCAACGCCUUGGUGAUUAUGUUGCUUUUGGUAAUAUCAGCAAGACUUGUUUUUAUCAUGACCUAUUGCCACAGGACUGUGUGUACUAUAAAUGUUACUGCUGUUUUUACUGUGAGUAUAACUCAGGGAGGAAAGACGUAGCAGCUUUGCCUCUGGUGGUGAGAGGCAGGAAAGGAGAGCCAGGGCAUUGCCAUGGUACAAAUAAUAGCCAUGCAAUCCCUGAUCACUCUUUCCUAGUCCUGAUUAAACUGAAUGCUGAUGGGCUGACUAAGGUCCUUUCUAAACUUCCAGGACAUCUGCUACCCCCAAAUGUUAGUGGCUCAUAAGCAUUAUGCAGUAAUCAAAAGUAGAGAACUGAAACUCUUCUUAAUUUUGUAACUGUGAAGAGCAAGCACAUUUUAUCUUUUAGUUUUGUACCUCCAACCUCUAAAAAUCAUUAAAUGCUUCCUUGGAAGGGGUAUUGUUUCACUUACCACCAUUAUUAGAAUAAAAAGUGUGGAGUAAUUUAUCAAUAGAUCAGGGUCAAGAAAUUUUUAAAAUUCUACUCUUUACCUCAUGAAGCCGCUAGCACUGCAGAUGGGCAUGGUGGAAGGAGAGUGAUUUUAAAGGAAGGCAGAUGUUGUUCAAACUCUGUGCCUGCCACUUAAUAAAUGAGGGACCUUAAUAGAGUUAAUUAGCCUUCCGAGUCUCAGUUUCAUCAUCUAUAAAAUAAAGAUACUGAAACAAUUUAUAGUGGUUGUUGUACUGGACACAUAGGCAGCAGGAAACAAAUGGUGGAGAAUGUCGCAUUUGUUGUAGGGGUUUGACUAUAGACAAUGGAGGGAUCUUGUUAAAGAGUUUAUGCACAGUUACUGCAUCUGUGUUGGCUGCUGCAGCUUGCAGUCAGCUUGGUCAGGAAGAAGGAUGGAAGAAGAUGGAUGAGAAGAAAGAUGGACAAGAAGUAGGAGAGAGUGAGUACAGAUUAGAACCUGCAAGGAAGGGCUGGAGUUCUCAAGGAUGAAAUGGAACUCAGGUGAGGCUCAUAGCCUCCAGGCCUCCCACUUUGAUGAGGUGGAUGAUCCAGCAGUAUUUGGAGGAGCUAAAGCCUGGGUGUUGCUUCACGCCAAGGUGAGUCAGCAGAUUAGAAUGAGCAUGAGCUGCAGGAGUGCUGGGAACAGCGCCCGCAGCCCUGCUCCAGCCUUGCGAAUAGCAGGAGAAUAUGGCAUCCAUUUCACUUCCACCUUCCACGUCUCACGUUAAAUGUCCCUGGUGGCCCAAGUGAAUCUAGAACUGUCCAGGGAAAGGGGAUUCUGGUUAACAGUCCCAGUGAGCUAAGUUAACACAGAACAAAGCCACCAUAGGGUAAAGUACCUAUUGAUAUUAAGAAUUCCUUCCACCCUUCUUUUCUCUUAAUCAUCCAGCCUGUUCUCACACCUUGCAUGCAGUUGCCAUUCGAAUUCCUCCUGGUAUUCAAGCACACACAGUGAAAUUCUCUCUUCCUCAACAUAUCUCUAUAUCAGCAGUUCUCAACCAAGGUGGCUUUGCCCCUCAGGGGACAGUUGGCAGUGUCUGGAGACAUUUGGGGUUGUCAUGACAAGGGAGAGAACACUACUGUCAUCUAGUGGGUAAAGGUCAGAGAUGCUAAAUGUCCUGUGAUGCACGGUACAGCCUAUAACAAAGAAUUAUCCAGCUCAAAAUGUCAGUGAUCCUAAGACUGAGAAACCCUGUUGUGUCGUCACUUGCUCAUUUAUCUCCAUGGUUUCUGGGGAAGAAUCAUUUGCUUCUUUCCUAAAGUCAGCUCCUUCACUUGUGCUUUUGCUCAUUUCACUUUGAACCCUUGUAGAAGCCCAUUUGCUCGCUUCUCUCUCCAUUUACCUCACAGACCAAACAUAUUAAAACGAUCACAUUUGCUUUCCCUUUAGAUCUUUCAAAGUUCCAUGCACUUGCUAGCUCUUUCUUUAAUUACAAACUCUAAUCGAAGGAUCCAUUGAUUACUCGUUUCCUUCAUACCCCUGGAGUCUGGUGCCUCAGCAAAAACUUCACAGCCAAAAUUUUAGAUUAGUGAGAAGCUUAUUCUGAAAAAACUUGUGGAUUUUUAAAAGGUAAAAUUAAUGGACUUUCCAGUCAAAUUAAUUUUAUUUCUUAUAUACGUGCUUUUCAAAUUCUCCUAUCCCCUUCAUGAAGUCAUCAUGUCAAAUUUUUUUUUCUUUUUAAUUUAUUAUUAUUUUUUAUUAUUAUACUUUAAGUUUUAGGGUACAUGUGCACAUUAUGCAGGUUAGUUACAUAUGUACACAUGUGCCAUGCUGGUGCGCUGCACCGACUAACUCGUCAUCUAGCAUUAGGUAUAUCUCCCAAUGCUAUCCCUCCCCCCUCCCCCCACCCCACAACAGUCCCCAGAGUGUCAUAUUCCCCUUCCUGUGUCCAUGUGAUCUCAUUGUUCAAUUCCCACCUAUGAGUGAGAAUAUGCAGUGUUUGGUUUUUUGUUCUUGCGAUAGUUUACUGAGAAUGAUGGUUUCCAAUUUCAUCCAUGUCCCUACAAAGGACAUGAACUCAUCAUUUUUUAUGGCUGCAUAGUAUUCCAUGGUGUAUAUGUGCCACAUUUUCUUAAUCCAGUCUAUCAUUGUUGGACAUUUGGGUUGGUUCCAAGUCUUUGCUAUUGUGAAUAAUGCCGCAAUAAACUUACGUGUGCAUGUGUCUUUAUAGCAGCAUGAUUUAUAGUCAUUUGGGUAUAUACCCAGUAAUGGGAUGGCUGGGUCAAAUGGUAUUUCUAGUUCUAGAUCCCUGAGGAAUUGCCACACUGACUUCCACAAUGGUUGAACUAGUUUACAGUCCCACCAACAGUGUAAAAGUGUUCCUAUUUCUCCACAUCCUCUCCAGCACCUGUUGUUUCCUGACUUUUUAAUGAUUGCCAUUCUAACUGGUGUGAGAUGGUAUCUCACUGUGGUUUUGAUUUGCAUUUCUCUGAUGGCCAGUGAUGAUGAGCAUUUUUUCAUGUGUUUUUUGGCUGCAUAAAUGUCUUCUUUUGAGCAGUGUCUGUUCAUGUCCUUCGCCCACUUUUUGAUGGGGUUGUUUGUUUUUUUCUUGUAAAUUUGUUUGAGUUCAUUGUAGAUUCUGGAUAUUAGCCCUUUGUCAGAUGAGUAGGUUGCAAAAAUUUUCUCCCAUUUUGUAGGUUGCCUGUUCACUCUGAUGGUAGUUUCUUUUGCUGUGCAGAAGCUCUUUAGUUUAAUUAGAUCCCAUUUGUCAAUUUUGUCUUUUGUUGCCAUUGCUUUUGAUGUUUUGGACAUGAAGUCCUUGCCCAUGCCUAUGUCCUGAAUGGUAAUGCCUAGGUUUUCUUCUAGGGUUUUCAUGGUUUUAGGUCUAACGUUUAAAUCUUUAAUCCAUCUUGAAUUGAUUUUUGUAUAAGGUGUAAGGAAGGAAUCCAGUUUCAGCUUUCUAUAUAUGGCUAGCCAGUUUUCCCAGCACCAUUUAUUAAAUAGGGAAUCCUUUCCCCAUUGCUUGUUUUUCUCAGGUUUGUCAAAGAUCAGAUAGUUGUAGAUAUGCGGCGUUAUUUCUGAGGGCUCUGUUCUGUUGCAUUGAUCUAUAUCUCUGUUUUGGUACCAGUACCAUGCUGUUUUGGUUACUGUAGCCUUGUAGUAUAGUUUGAAGUCAGGUAGUGUGAUGCCUCCAGCUUUGUUCUUCUGGCUUAGGAUUGCCUUGGUGAUGCGGGCUCUUUUUUGGUUCCAUAUGAACUUUAAAGUAGUUUUUUCCAAUUCUGUGAAGAAAGGCAUUGGUAGCUUGAUGGGGAUGGCAUUGAAUCUGUAAAUUACCUUGGGCAGUAUGGCCAUGUUCACGAUAUUGAUUCUUCCUACCCAUGAGCAUGGAGUGUUCUUCCAUUUGUUUGUAUCCUCUUUUAUUUCCUUGAGCAGUGGUUUGUAGUUCUCCUUGAAGAGGUCCUUCACAUCCCUUGUAAGUUGGAUUCCUAGGUAUUUUAUUCUCUUUGAAGCAAUUGUGAAUGGGAGUUCACUCAUGAUUUGGCUCUCUGUUUGUCUGUUGUUGGUGUAUAAGAAUGCUUGUGGUUUUUGUACAUUGAUUUUGUAUCCUGAGACUUUGCUGAAGUUGCUUAUCAGCUUAAGGAGAUUUUGGGCUGAGAUGAUGGGGUUUUCUAGAUAUACAAUCAUGUCAUCUGCAAACAGGGACAAUUUGACUUCCUCUUUUCCUAAUUGAAUACCCUUUAUUUCCUUCUCCUGCCUGAUUGCCCUGGCCAGAAUUUCCAACACUAUGUUGAAUAGGAGUGGUGAGAGAGGACAUCCCUGUCUUGUGCCAGUUUUCAAAGGGAAUGCUUCCAGUUUUUGCCCAUUCAGUGUGAUAUUGGCUGUGGGUUUGUCAUAGACAGCUGUUAUUAUUUUGAGAUACGUCCCAUCAAUACCUAAUUUAUUGAGAGUUUUUAGCAUGAAGGGUUGUUGAAUUUUGUCAAAGGCCUUUUCUGCAUCUAUUGAGAUAAUCAUGUGGUUUUUGUCUUUGGCUCUGUUUAUAUGCUGGAUUACAUUUAUUGAUUUGCGUAUAUUGAACCAGCCUUGCAUCCCAGGGAUGAAGCCCACUUGAUCAUGGUGGAUAAGCUUUUUGAUGUGCUGCUGGAUUCGUUUUGCCAGUAUUUUAUUGAGGAUUUUUGCAUCAAUGUUCAUCAAGGAUAUUGGUCUAAAAUUCUCUUUUUUGGUUGUGUCUCUGCCCGGCUUUGGUAUCAGAAUGAUGCUGGCCUCAUAAAAUGAGUUAGGGAGGAUUCCCUCUUUUUCUAUUGAUUGGAAUAGUUUCAGAAGGAAUGGUACCAGUUCCUCCUUAUACCUCUGGUAGAAUUCGGCUGUGAAUCCAUCUGGUCCUGGACUCUUUUUGGUUGGUAAACUAUUGAUUAUUGCCACAAUUUCAGCUCCUGUUAUUGGUCUAUUCAGAGAUUCAACUUCUUCCUGGUUUAGUCUUGGGAGAGUGUAUGUGUCGAGGAAUUUAUCCAUUUCUUCUAGAUUUUCUAGUUUAUUUGCGUAGAGGUGUUUGUAGUAUUCUCUGAUGGUAGUUUGUAUUUCUGUGGGAUCGGUGGUGAUAUCCCCUUUAUCAUUUUUUAUUGUGUCUAUUUGAUUCUUCUCUCUUUUUUUCUUUAUUAGUCUUGCUAGCGGUCUAUCAAUUUUGUUGAUCCUUUCAAAAAACCAGCUCCUGGAUUCAUUGAUUUUUUUGAAGGGUUUUUUGUGUCUCUAUUUCCUUCAGUUCUGCUCUGAUUUUAGUUAUUUCUUGCCUUCUGCUAGCUUUUGAAUGUGUUUGCUCUUGCUUUUUUAGUUCUUUCAAUUGAGAUGUUAGGAUGUCAAUUUUGGAUCUUUCCUGCUUUCUCUUGUGGGCAUUUAGUGCUAUAAAUUUCCCUCUACACACUGCUUUGAAUGCGUCCCAGAGAUUCUGGUAUGUUGUGUCCUUGUUCUCGUUGGUUUCAAAGAACAUCUUUAUUUCUGCCUUCAUUUCGUUAUGUACCCAGUAGUCAUUCAGGAGCAGGUUGUUCAGUUUCCAUGUAGUUGAGCGGCUUUGAGUGAGAUUCUUAAUCCUGAGUUCUAGUUUGAUUGCACUGUGGUCUGAGAGACAGUUUGUUAUAAUUUCUGUUCUUUUACAUUUGCUGAGGAGUGCUUUACUUCCAACUAUGUGGUCAAUUUUGGAAUAGGUGUGGUGUGGUGCUGAAAAAAAUGUAUAUUCUGUUGAUUUGGGGUGGAGAGUUCUGUAGAUGUCUAUUAGGUCCACUUGGUGUAGAGCUGAGUUCAAUUCCUGGGUAUCCUUGUUGACUUUCUGUCUCAUUGAUCUGUCUAAUGUUGACAGUGGGGUGUUAAAGUCUCCCAUUAUUAAUGUGUGGGAGUCUAAGUCUCUUUGUAGGUCACUCAGGACUUGCUUUAUGAAUCUGGGUGCUCCUGUAUUGGGUGCAUAUAUAUUUAGGAUAGUUAGUUCUUCUUGUUGAAUUGAUCCCUUUACCAUUAUGUAAUGGCCUUCUUUGUCUGUUUUGAUCUUUGUUGGUUUAAAGUCUGUUUUAUCAGAGACUAGGAUUGCAACCACUGCCUUUUUUUGUUUUCCAUUUGCUUGGUAGAUCUUCCUCCAUCCUUUUAUUUUGAGCUUAUGUGUGUCUCUGCACGUGAGAUGGGUUUCCUGAAUACAGCACACUGAUGGGUCUUGACUCUUUAUCCAAUUUGCCAGUCUGUGUCUUUUAAUUGGAGAAUUUCGUCCAUUUACAUUUAAGGUUAAUAUUGUUAUGUGUGAAUUUGAUACUGUCAUUAUGAUGUUAGCUGGUGAUUUUGCUCGUUAGUUGAUGCAGUUUCUUCCUAGUCUCGAUGGUCUUUACAUUUUGGCAUGAUUUUGUAGUGGCUGGUAGCGGUUGUUCCUUUCCAUGUUUAGCGCUUCCUUCAGGAGCUCUUUUAGGGCAGGCCUGGUGGUGACAAAAUCUCUCAGCAUUUGCUUGUCUGUAAAGUAUUUUAUUUCUCCUUCACUUAUGAAGCUUAGUUUGGCUGGAUAUGAAACUCUGGGUUGAAAAUUCUUUUCUUUAAGAAUGUUGAGUAUUGGCCCCCACUGUCUUCUGGCUUGUAGGGUUUCUGCCGAGAGAUCAGCUGUUAGUCUGAUGGGCUUCCCUUUGAGGGUAACCCGACCUUUCUCUCUGGCUGCCCUUAACAUUUUUUCCUUCAUUUCAACUUUGGUGAAUCUGACAAUUAUGUGUCUUGGAGUUGCUCUUCUCGAGGAGUAUCUUUGUGGUGUUCUCUGUAUUUCCUGAAUCUGAACGUUGGCCUGCCUUGCUAGAUUGGGGAAGUUCUCCUGGAUAAUAUGCUGCAGAGUAUUUUCCAACUUGGUUCCAUUCUCCCUGUGACCUUCAGGUACACCAAUCAGACGUAGAUUUGGUCUUUUCACAUAGUCCCAUAUUUCUUGGAGGCUUUACUCAUUUCUUUUUAGUCUUUUUUCUCUAAACUUCCCUUCUCGCUUCAUUUCAUUCAUUUCAUCUUCCAUCGCUGAUACCCUUUCUUCCAGUUGAUCGCAUCGGCUCCUGAGGCUUCUGCAUUCUUCACGUAGUUCUCGAGCCUUGGUUUUCAGCUCCAUCAGCUCCUUUAAGCACUUCUCUGUAUUGGUUAUUCUAGUUAUACAUUCUUCUAAAUUUUUUUCAAAGUUUUCAACUUCUUUGCCUUUGGUUUGAAUGUCCUCCCGUAGCUCAGAGUAAUUUGAUCCUCUGAAGCCUUCUUCUCUCAGCUCGUCAAAGUCAUUCUCCAUCCAGCUUUGUUCCGUUGCUGGUGAGGAACUGCGUUCCUUUGGAGGAGGAGAGGCGCUCUGCGUUUUAGAGUUUCCAGUUUUUCUGUUCUGUUUUUUCCCCAUCUUUGUGGUUUUAUCUACUUUUGGUGUUUGAUGAUGGUGAUGUACAGAUGGGUUUUCAGUGUGGAUGUCCUUUCUGUUUGUUAGUUUUCCUUCUAACAGACAGGACCCUCAGCUGCAGGUCUGUUGGAAUACCCUGCCGUGUGAGGUGUCAGUGUGCCCCUGCUGGGGGGUGCCUCCCAGUUAGGCUGCUCGGGGGUCAGGGGUCAGGGACCCACUUGAGGAGGCAGUCUGCCGGUUCUCAGAUCUCCAGCUGCGUGCUGGGAGAACCACUGCUCUCUUCAAAGCUGUCAGACAGGGACAUUUAAGUCUGCAGAGGUUACUGCUGUCUUUUUGUUUGUCUGUGCCCUGCCCCCAGAGGUGGAGCCUACAGAGGCAGGCAGGCCUCCUGGACCUGUGGUGGGCUCCACCCAGUUGGAGCUUCCGGGCUGCUUUGUUUACCUAAGCAAGCCUGGGCAAUGGCAGGCGCCCCUCCCCCAGCCUCGCUGCUGCCUUGCAGUUUGAUCUCAGACUGCUGUGCUAGCAAUCAGCGAGAUUCCGUGGGUGUAGGACCCUCCGAGCCAGGUGUGGGAUAUAAUCUCGUGGUGCGCCGUUUUUUAAGCCGGUCUGAAAAGCGCAAUAUUCGGGUGGGAGUGACCCGAUUUUCCAGGUGCGUCCGUCACCCCUUUCUUUGACUCGGAAAGGGAACUCCCUGACCCCUUGCACUUCCCAAGUGAGGCAAUGCCUCGCCCUGCUUCGGCUCGCGCACGGUGCGCGCACCCACUGGCCUGAGCCCACUGUCUGGCACUCCCUAGUGAGAUGAACCCGGUACCUCAGAUGGAAAUGCAGAAAUCACCCAUCUUCUGCGUCGCUCACGCUGGGAGCUGUAGACCGGAGCUGUUCCUAUUCGGCCAUCUUGGCUCAAACUCCGUCAAAUUUUUAUCCCUAAUAUUGUAACAAAACUUUUUUUAAAAAUAUCUCCCGUGACUUCCAGGUUGCUUGAUCCCUUGGUCAUUUCUCACUCCUCUUCGUAUUCACCUCCUCAUCAGUAUUUGGCAUCUUUUUUUUUUAACUUCUUAAUUUUUUUAUUUCAAUAGAUUUUGGGUAGUGUUUGGUUACAUGAAUAAGUUCUUUAGGGGUGAUUUCUGAGAUUUUGGUGCACCCAUCACCUGAACAGUGUACACUGUACCCAAGGUGUAGUCUUUUAUCCCUCGCCACCCCACACUCUUUUCCCUGAUUCCCCAAAGUCCAAUGUAUCAUUCUUAUGCCUUUGUGUUCUCACAGUUUAAGUCCCACAUAUGAGUGAGAAUAUAGGAUGUUUGGUUUUCCAUUCCUGAGUUACUUUACUUAAAAUAAUAGUCUCCAAUUCCAUCCAGGUUGCUGUGAAUGCCAUUAUUUCAUUCAUUUUUAUGACUAAGUAGUAUUUCAUGGUAUAUAUAUACCACAAUUUCUUCAUCCACUCAUUGACUGAUGGGCAUUUGGGCUGGUUCCAUAGUUUUGCAAUUGCAAAUUGUGCUGCUAUAAAUAUGUGUGUACAGGUAUCUUUUUUGUAUAAGACUUCUUUUCCUUUAGGUAGAUACCUAGUAGUGGGAUUGCUGAAUUAAACAGUAGAUCUACUUUUAGUUCUUUAAGGAAUCUCCACAGUGUUUUCCGUAGUGAUUGUACUAGUUUACAUUUCCACCAACAGUGUGAAAGUGUUCCCUUUUCACCACACCCAUGCCAACAUCUAUUUUUUUUUUUAUUAUGGCCAUUCUUGCAGGAGUCAGGUGGUAUUGCAUUGUUGUUUUGAUUUGCAUUUCCCUGAUAAUUAGUGAUAUUGAGCAUUUUUCCAUAUGCUUGUUGGCCAUUUGUAUAUCUUCUUUUCAGAAUUGCGUAUUCAUGUCCUUAGCCCACUUUUUGAUGGUGUUGUUUUUUUUCCUGCUGAUUUGUUUGAAUUCUUUGUAGAUUCUGGAUAGUAGUUCUUUGUUGGAUGUAUAAAUUGUGAAGAUUUUCUCCCACUCUGUGGGUUGUCCAUUAACUCUGCUGAUUGUUUCUUUUGCUGUGCAGAAGCUUUUUAGUUUAAUUAAGUCCCAUCUAUUUAUCUUUGUUUUUGUUGCAUUUGCCUUUGGGUUCUUGGUCAUGAAGUCUUUGCCUAAGUCAAUGUCUAGAAGGGUUUUUCUGAUGUUAUCUUCUAGAGUCUUAAUGGUUUCAAGUCUUAGACUUAAGUCCCACCACCAUUUGUUGAACAGGGUGUCCUUUCCCCACUUUAUGUAAAAGAUAGAGCCAUCUUGGGUUGAUUUUUGUAUAAUGUGAUGAGGAUCCAGUUUUAUUCUUCUGCAUGUGGCUUGCCAAUUAUUCCAGCACCAUUUGUUGAAUAGGGUGUCCUUUCCCCACUUUAUGUUUUUGUUUACUUUGUUGAAGAUCAGUUGGCUGUAAGUAUUUGGGUUUAUUUCUGGGUUCUCUAUUGUGUUCCAUUGGUCUAUGUGUCAAUUUUUAUACCAGUACCAUGCUGUUUUGGUGACUAUGGCUUUAUAGUAUAGUUUGAAGUUGGGUAAUGUGAUGCUUCCAGAUUUGUUCUUUUUGCUUAGUCUUGCUUUGCCUAUGCGGGUUCUUUUUGUUGGUUCCAUAUAAAUUUUAGGAUUUUUUUUUCUAGUUCUGUGAAGAAUGAUGAUGGUGUUUGGAUGGGAAUUGCACUGAAUUUGUAGAUUGCUUUUGGUAGUAUGGUCAUUUUCACAGUAUUGAUUUUACCCAUCCAUGACUAUGAGAUGUGUUUCCAUUUGUUUGUGUCAUCUAUGAUUUCUUUCAGCACUGUUUUGUAGUUUUCCUUGUAGAGGUCUUUUGCAUCCUUGGUUAGGCAUAUUCCUUAGUAUUUCUUUUUUUUUUUUUUUUUGGCAGCUAUUGUGAAAGGGGUUGAGUUCUUGAUUUGAUUCUCAGCUUGAUCACUGUUGGUGUAUAGCAGAGCUACUGAUUUGUGGACAUUAAUUUUGUAUCCUGAAACUUCUGAAUUUAUUUACCAGUUCUGGGAGCUUUUUGGAUGAGUCUUUAGAGUUUUCUAGCUAUACAAUCAUAUCAACAGCAAACAGUGAGAGUUUGACUUCCUCUUCACCAAUUUUGAUGCCCUUUAUUUUUUUCUCUUGUCUGAUUGUUUCGGCUAGGACUUCCAGUACUAUGUUGAAUAGAAGUGGUGAAUGUGGGCAUCCUCGUCUCAUUCCAGUUCUCAGAGGGAAUGCUUUCAACUUUUCCCCAUUUAGUAUAAUGUUGGCUGUGAGUUUUCUGUAGAUGACUUUUAUAACCUUAAAGUAUAUCCCUUGUAUGCCGAUUUUGCUGAGGGUUUUAAUCAUAAAAGGAUACUGGAUUUUGUCAGAUUCUUUUUCUGCAUCUAUUGAGAUGAUCAUGUGAUUUUUGUUUUUAAUUCUGUUUAUGUGGUGUAUGACAUUUAUUGGCUUGCAUAUGUUAAACCAUCCCUGCAUCCCUGAUAUGAAACCCAUUUGAUCAUGAUGGAUUAUCUUUUUGGUAUGCUGUUGGAUUCGGUUAGCUAGUAUUUUGUUAAGGAUUUUUGCAUUUAUGUUCAUCAGGGAUAUUGGUCUGUAGUUUUCUUUUUUUGUUAUGUCUUUCCCUGUUUUGGUAUUAGGGUGAUACUGCCUUCAUAGAAUGAUUUAGGGAGGAUUCCCUCUUCCUCUAUCUUGUGGAAUAGUGUCAGUAGGAUUGGUCCAAUUCUUCUUUGAAUGUCAAUAGAAUUCAGCUGUGAAUCCAUCUGGUCCUGGACAUUUUUUAUUGGCAACUUUAAAAUUACCAUUUCAAUCUUGCUGCUUGUUAUUGGUCUGUUCAGAGAUACUAUAUUUUUCUGGUUUAAUCUAGGAGGGUCGUGUAUUUCCAGGAAUUCAUCCAUCUCCUCUAGGUUUUCUAGUUUAUGUGUGUAAAGGUGUUCAUAGUAGCCUUGAAUACUCUUUUGUAUUUCUGUGAUAUCAGUUAUAAUAUCUCCGAAUUGAGCUUAUUUGAAGCUUCUCCCUUCUUUUCUUGAUUAAUCUUGCGAAUGAUCUAUCAAUUUUAUUUAUCUUUUCAAAGAAGCAGCUUUGCGUUUCAUUCUUUUUUGCAUUUUUUUUGGUUUUAAUUUAAUUUUGUUCUGCUCUGAUCUUUGUUAUUUCUUUUCUUCUGCUGGGGUUGGGCUUGGAUUGUUCUUGUUUCUGCAGUUCCUUGAGGUGUGACCUUAGAUUGUCUAUUUGUGCUCUUUCAAACUUUUUGAUGGACUUUUUGAACUUUCCUCUUAGCAAUACUUUUGCUGUAUACCAGAGGUUUUGAUAGGUUGUGUCACUAUUAUCGUUCAGUUCAAAGAAUUUUUAAAUUUCCAUCUUGAUUUCAUUUUUGACCAAAAGUUUAUUCAGGAAAAGGUUAUUUAAUUUCCACAUAUUUGCAUGGUUUUGAGAGUUUCUUUUGGAGUUGAUUUCCAAUUUUAUUUUACUGUGGUCUGAGAGAGUACUUGAUAUAAUUUCAAUUUUCUUAAAUUUACUGAGACUUGUUUUGUGGCUUAUCAUAUGUUCUGUCUUGAAGAAUGUUCCAUGUGCUGAUGAAUAGAAUGCAUAUUCUGCGGUUAUUGGGUAGAACAUUCUGUAAAUAUCUGUUAAGUCCAUUUGUUGUAGGGCAUAGUUUCUUUGUUGUUUCUUUGUUGACUUUCUGUCUCGAUGACCUGUCUAGUGUUGUCAGUGGAGCAUUAAAGUCCCCCACUAUUAUUGUGUUGCCAUUUAUCACAUUUCUUAGGUCUAGUCGUAAUUGUUUUAUAAAUUUGGGAGCUCCAGUGUUACGUGCAUAUAUAUUUAGAAUUGUGAUAUUUUUCCUGUUGGACUAGUCCUUUUAUCAUUAUAUAAUGUCCCUCUUUGUCUUUUUAAACUACUGUUGCUUUAAAGUUUGAUUUUUCUGAUAUAAGAAUAGCUACUCCUGCUUUCUUUUGGUGUCUAUUUGCAUGGAGUAUCCUUUUUCAUCCCUUUACCUUAAGUUUAUGUGAGUCCUUAUGAGUUAGGUGUCUCCUGAAGACAGCAGAAACUUGGUUGGUGAAUUUUUAUCUAUUCUGCCAUUCUGUAUAUUUUAAGUGGAGCAUUUAGGCCAUUUACAUUCAAUGUUAGUAUUCUAUUCAUCAUGCUAUUUGUUGACUAAAUAUCUUGUUUUUUUUUAUUGUGUUAUUGUUAUAUAGGUACUGUGAUAUUUAUGCUCUAAGGAGGUCCUAUUUUGGUAUAUUUUGAGAAUUUGUUUCAAGAUUUAGAGCCACUUUUAACAGUUCUUGUAGUGCUGGCUUGGUAGUGGCAAAUUUGUUCAGCAUUUGUUUGUCUGGAAAAGACUAUAUCUUUCCUUCAUUUAUGAAGCUUAGUUUUGCUGGAUACAAAAUUCUUGGCUGAUAAUUGGUUGGUUUAAGGAAGCAAAAAUAGGACCCCAGUCCUUUCUAGCUUGUAGGGUUUCUGCUGAGAAAUCUGCUGUUAAUCUGAUAGGUUUUCCUUUAUAGGUUACCUCUUGCUUUUGCCUCACAGCUCUUCAGAUCCUUUCCUUUGUCUUGACUUUAGGUAACCUGAUGGCUAUGUGUCUAGGCAAUGAUCUUUUUGUGAUGAAUUUCCCAGGUGUUCUUUGAGCCUCUUGUAUUUGGAUGUCUAGGUCUCUAACAAGGUCAGGAAAGUUUUCCUCGAUUAUUCCCUCAAAUAUGUUUUCCACACUUUUAGAUUUCUCUUCUUCCUUGGGGACACCAAUUAUUCUUAGGUUUGGACGUUUAACAUAGCCCCAAGCUUCUUGGAGGCUUUGUUCAUUUUUUAAAAUUCUUUUUUUCUUUGUGUUCGAUAGAUUGGGUUAAUUCAAAAGUCUUGUCUUUAAGCUAUGAAGUUCUUUCCUCUGCUUGUUUGAUUCUAUUGCUGAGAUUUUCCAGUGUGUUUGGCAUUUCUCUAAGUGUGUCCUUGAUUUCCAAAAGUUGUGAUUGUUUUUUAUUUAUGCAUCCAUUUCACUGAAGAACUUACCUUUCAUAUCCUGUAUUACAGUUUUGACUUUUUUAAGUUGGACUUCAUCUUUCUCUGGUACCUCCUUGAUUAGCUUAAUAAUCGACCUUCUGAAUUCUUUUUCUGACAGUUCAGUGAUUUUGCUUGGUUUGAAUCCGUUGCUGGUGAGCUGGUAUAAUCUUUUGGGGGAGUUAAAGGACACUUUUUAUUUAUUAUUAUUUAUCUUAGAAACUGUGACUUUAUUUUUAUUUAUCUUUUAUUUUAGGUUCAGGGGUACAUGUACAGGUGGUUUGUUACAUAGGUAGACCUGUGUCAUGCAGUUUUGUUGUGCAGACUAUUUCAUCACCCACAUAUUAAGCCUAGUACCUAUUAGUUAUUUUUCCUGAUUCUCUUCCUCCAACCAACCUCCACCCUCUGAUAGGCGUCAGUGUGUGUUGUUCCCCUCUAUGUUUCCAUGUGUUCUCAACUUUUAGCUCCCACUUAUAAGUGAGAACAUGCUGUAUUUGGGUUUCUGUCCCUGUGUUAAUUUGCUAAGGAUAAUGGCCUCCAGUGCCAUCCAUGUUCCUGCAAAGGAAGUGAUCUUGUUCUUUUUCAUGGCUGUGUAGUAUUCCAUGGUGUAUAUGUACCACAUUUUCUUUAUCUAGUCUACCAUUUCUGGGCAUUUAGGUUGAUUCCAUGUCUUUCCUAUUGUGAAUAGUGCUGCAAUGAACAUAUGCGUGCAUGUGUCUUUAUAAUAGAAUGAUUUAUAUUGCUUUGGGCAUAUACCCAGUAAUGAGGUUGCUGGGUUAAAUGAUAUUUCUGUUUUUAUGGCUUUGAGGAAUCAUCACACUGUUUUCCACAAUGGUUGAACUAAUUUAUACUCCCUCCAACAGUGCAUAAGCCUUUCUUUUUCUUUGCAACCUCGCUAGCAUCUGUUAUUAUUAUUAUUUUUUGACUUUUUAGUAAUAGCCACUCUGACUGGUGUGAGGUGGUAUCCCAUUGUGGUUUUGACAAACUCUCCACUUUAAAAAAAUAGAAAUACCAAUCUUUUCAUGAUAAAAAAUGAACUCCUAUGUGUUUUUUUUUUUUUUUUUACCCUGUAAACCUAUCUCAGGAAAUGUCAGCUCUUUCCUUUCAAUUAUUCCAACCCCAAACCUUGAGCUUGUCCUCUUCUCUCUCCCAAACUAUAUACAAUCAAUCAUAAAAUAUUAUCAGUUUUAUCUUCAGUGGAGAGAAGGUUUUCUGGCCUUACCUGGGGCCUUCUCUCCAGAGCACACAUUAUUAGCAGUGAUCUGCUAAUUUUAGCAUCUUUUGCGGUUGGAUAGGCUGAGAAUUUCUCAAAUCAUCUAGUCCUGGCUCUUUUUGCUUAAUGAUUCUUUCUUCAUUUCUCUCUUUCUUCUAGCGUCUUAGUGUAAGCAGCAAGAAGAAACCAGCCUGCAUCUUCAAUACUUCACUUAGAAAUCUCCUGAGUUGAAUACCCAAGUUUACCACUUUUAGUUCUGCUUUCCACACAAUGGUAGGUCACAAUUCAGUGAAGCUCCCUGUCACUAUAUAACAAAGAUCACUUUUCUUCUAAUUUCUAAUAACACUUUUCUCAUAUUCUUCUGAGCCCUCUGAGCAGCAUCUUUACUGUUCAUAUUUCUACUAAUCUUCUGUUUCUGGCAAUAUACGCAUUCUCCAAGACAGUGGUCUCCAACCUUUUUGACACCAGGGACUGGUUUUAUAGAAGACAGUUUUUUUCCCAUGGAAUAGGGGUUGUGGAUUGUUUUGGGAUGAAACUGUUCCACCUCAGAUUACCAGGCAUUAUUUAGAUCCUCAGAAGGAGCACACGACCUAGAUCCCUUGCAUGCACAGUUCACAAUAUGGUUUGCGCUCCUGUGAGAAUCUAAUGCUGACGCUGAUGUGACAGGAGGCAGAGCUCAGGGAGUAAUGCUGGCUCACCCGCUGCUUACCUCCCGCUAUGUGCCCUGAUUCCUAACAGGCCACUGGCUGGUACCGGUCUGCAGCCUGGAGGUGGGGGACCCCUGCUCUAAGAUGACAGAGGAUCUCUCUACUGUGCUUCUCACUUCUUUCUGAGUUUUCACCCGUUGUGCCUUUAAUAUUUCUACUAUUUUUCUACUAAUAUUGCUACUAAUUAGUAGAAAUAUAGAAAUAUAUUUUAUAGAAAUAUAGAAAUAUAGAAUAUUUCUACUAAUAGUCUGUUUAAAGCAACCUAUCUAUCAUGUGCCUCAAAAAUGCUUCCAGGCUCUGUCCAUCACCAAAUUCCAAAGCCACUUUCACAUUUUUAGGUAUUUGAUACUGCAGCACACUGCUUCCUGGUACCAAAAUCUGCAUUUGUUUCUGGUGGCUGCUGUAACAAGUGACCACAAACGUGGUGACUGAAAACAUUAGAAAUUUAUUCUGUUACAUUUCUGGAGCCCAGAGUCUGAAAUCAGUAUCCUGGGUCAAAAUCAAGGUGUCAACAAUGCUGCACUCAUCCUGGAGUUCCUAGGGGACCUAGGAAUAAUUUCCUUGUCUCUUCCAGCUUCUAGUGGAUACUGGUAUUCCUUGGCUUCUGGUUGCAUCCCUCCAGUCCUUAAGGCCAGGAUCUCCAAAUAUCUCUCUACUCCAUCUUAACAUCACCUCUUCUCUGUGUAAAAUCUCCCUCUGCUUUCCUGUAAUAAGGAUACACGUGAUUGCAUUUAGAGCUCACCUGGAUAAUCCAGGCUCAUUUCCCCAUCUCAAGAUCCUUAACUUGGUCACACAGGAAAAGACCCCUUUUUAGCCACCUAAGACAACAUUCACAGAUUUCAGGAGUUAAUGCCUGGAUAUCUUUUGAAGGUGCAUUAUUUAGCCUACUACAACUUGAACACCCCUUCAAGACCUGGACUGUGCCUCUGGAUGCAACAAUCAUAGUAUAACCAGGAAACAGAAACUACCUAUGUAUUUAAAACCCUGAGACCUCACUCCAUUUAUCUCCGUGAUUGUCCUAUUUUCUGCGCGGCACCACACAAAGCUGUCACAACUUGUCUUCUAGAUGCCACACUCAUGAUUUUCUAUUAAUCUCAAAUGCAUUAUUUGGGAAACUCCAAUCAUUUCGUGAGUGAGCACAGCAUUGCGGAGUCGGGUUGUGUCAGCAGCAUAUAACUGGCAUUUAAAAUGCACUAAAGCAAAAGUCAGGAGACUGGGUUUAAGUCUUGCAUGUUACUUUGAAGAACUUGAGACCUAUGGCCAGUGACUUGGCCUUUCUCACUCUUAGUUAAUUCAUCUGCAAAAUGAAUAUUAAUGCUUAUGGAGAUUAAAGUGAAGUGACAUAUGAGAAAGGCUUUGCUAACUUAAACUUUUAGUGAAAUAACAAAUACGAUGAAAAUAACAUGAAUCUUGACCAAGAUGGUCUUAAUGAGAGAGAUUUAUUUCUUUUUCUAGGCCCCUGACCUCGCUUUUCCUAGAGCAUUUAAUUUAGAAAACUUGCAAUCAAUUCUUCAUCUACCUCUUUGAGAUGUAAAUCUUCUCCCAGCCUCUUGCCAGUUUUACAAUCAAGGAUUGUUUUUCUUAAGGACCUGGGAGCCAUUCGUCUGAAAUGUAAUCAUCAAGGAAGAUAGUACCCUUAUCUUCCAGUCUCUGUGGGGUGGGGGGAGGGUAGGAGCCUAACUUCAGUGAGAGUCUUGCUCCAGGUUGUAAAACUACCUCUUGUCAUGAAGAUAACAGAAAGUUUACUUUUUCUUUGGGUAAGAGGCAGAUGGCCUUAUGAUAUCCCCCAUCUCAGCUUUUAAAGACUCUCCAUGUAUUGUUUCAGUGUAGUUGAGUUAAUACUGAUCUCUCUUUACCAUUACAAUAGCCUUAAAUAAAAUCUUCCUUACUUGUUUAACUUAGUCUGAUGCAAUUUUGCUUUGAUAAUGGUUUCACAUAAUAACCACCACACUUUAAUCCUUUCUGUCAAGACUCUCCAGUAUGAAUGUAGAAGUGAUAUUACUUUCAGAGAAAAUUAUUGAAUACUUUUUCAUUUUCAAUCCUCCAAAUUUAUGUCAUGUUUAUGCUUUGAAGAGCAUGAGAGAACUUGACUCUUGAUCCCCUCCUUGCUGGAUAUGUCCUUUUUCAUCAUCUCAUUUUUAUGACUCCCCUGUGCAAUACCCUAGUUAUGCUUAUUUUUCCUUAUUUACAGCUGUUAAAUGAUAAUUUUCAAAAAAAAAAAAAAAAAAAAAAGGGAAAAUCAUGACUCCCAUACAGGUAUAAGAUAGUUGUUAAAGCUUUUAUUUAACUCUUUAAUUAAUGAGGGAACUAAGUAGAUGUUUAAUAGGUUCAAAAGAGAAUCCUAGCUUCUCCACAGAAGGGAGGAAAGUCAAUUGACUCUUAGCAGAAUUUCUACAGGCAAUAAUUAUUUUGCAUCACUAUCAGUUAUCUACAGCUUACAGAGAUGUAAAAUAGCUUCCAUAGUAUCAUAAUUCUGCUUAUGUGUAGACAAUGUAUAGUUUUCCUUUGAAGGACAAAUUUUCCCUUACACAGCAUUAAUUCAUUUUCUUUUUUACAAUAUGAUGCAGAGUUGCAAGAUGAAAGUGCUGGAGAACUACUGAAAUUCCUUGGAGUUAGGAUUUGGGUAACUGUUUUAUUUAUAUAUAUUUUUAAAAAACGGAAACAAGUUGAAAGUACUUUAAUAGAAGUCAGCCAACGAACCUGAGGAAGGAUUUAAUGAAAGUACUGUUAUGUUAAAGGACAAUGAGGUUCAGAAUCUCAAGAUGGAAAUAACUUCAUUUUUAGUGCUACUGAUGUGUAGGGAGGGAGAAAAUGUCAAUUUGGUCAGAGUGCACAAGAUUUUUUAAUAUUUGAAAUAGAGUUGGCCUGUUGGAUAUAACCCUUGAGCCCUCUGAACCUCUGAAGAAUGGUUCUUUUAACAGCUACUUAGGACCGAGAUAACGGAGCCAGGCAGCUCUGGGAUGAAGCUGCAAGAGCUUGGGCAGGAGGCAGGCUCAAAAGGGACAUUCAUGGGUAUGGGAUGAAAGGGUAUUACACUGUCUAGUGGUUCAUUCUGACCUUAAAAGUCCUCAAUGCCAAGUUUCAUCAGUGCUGAGUGAUCUUUGCUCUCAGUUUAGUGUGCAAUAUCAUGUAGCAUAAAGUAGUUAUUGUUAAGUGUCCUCACAUUUUAGGGACAAUAGGAACAACAUGCAAAUUAACCAUGGGUAGUAUUCUUGGCCAUAUACAAUUAUGGGUAUUUAAAAUUUUUAGAUGCUAAUUAAGCCCGAAGUUCUUUGUGAAUAGUGCCAAUUUGCCUCCAAAUAACAUGUUACAGAGAUAGAAUAAUUCACCAUAAGUGCCUGCACCAGCAACAGUGGCUGGCACAUAUAUAGAUGCUAUUCAAUAAAUCUGCUUGGUAUUGACUGAUUGGAAAAGCAUCCAAGAAGAGUUUCCAUUUUUCUCUGAUAAAACACACUUGAUGUUCAGUUGUUGACAAAGAAGUGGCUGACUUCAAACAGUGGUGAUGUGACUUGGUGGUACUGUCAUGCACACUAACUCAACCUUACUUUUUCUUAGAGUUCCUAUUAUGUUACGUAAUCUUUAUGUCCUCUGUUCAUCUUUGGGGAACCAAACUAUAGGAUUCAGGAACACGAUGGCAGUGUAAAUGCAAAUAAAUGUGCACAUUUAAUGAAAAAACUCUAGCUUGGGAAACUUUCUUGCACUUUGUGGUUGGAGAGUUAUCUACAAUGUCAUCAUCCCCAGACAUGUUUGUAAUCAUAGGUAUAAUGCGUCUUGAUUUCCAAGUAAUAGGCCUAUUGAACUGAACAAUAUGGGAACAGAACACACUGACCUCUCUGAUGACAGAAACUAUUAACUACUGUCCUUAUAAAUCACGGGGCCUCCAGGGUGGUGCUUUCAGAGGUGACACAGCACCUCUUGCAGCUCUUCCUCCUCCUACUCUUCCUCCUUCUUUUGAAGGCAAGUAGCUGAAUAGGAGAAAACACAAUAUAAAAUACUAAAAAAACCCAGCUAAUAUAAUGUGAAAUAUUGAAAGAUAAUAUUUUUUUGAAGAUGCAAGUGAUUAUCUAUCUAAUUUGAACCAAAGAGAAUAAAUAAAUCCUUUAGAAAAUAGGAACAAAUUAGGACACAUUUUUUUUUAGCCUUUCAAAGUCACUUCAGGAAAGAUUUCAAAGGUCUUUUUGUAACUUUUGCUUUUAAUUAUAGAAAUAAUAAAUGUCCAUUUUAAUAGAAAAUAAAAGUAAAUUAUGUAAAAGAAAACUAAAGUUUUCACCUAGAGAAGAACAAUGAGCAUAAUUCGAUAUAUAAUCUUGCACUGCUUUCAUGAGACAUUUACAUAUUUAUAAUUAUAAAUAUUUAUAUAUGAUGUGUAGUAAUUUUAUACUUUUUUCUGUUGACUCAUUUAAAAAUAUUUUUGUAGCCUUUUUUCAUUUAGUAUAUUGAUGUCUUAUGAUGUCAUGAAAAAAAUCUUCCAUUAUUAUUGUUUUAGAAGUACAGUUUGCUUCUAAAUAAAUUAUACAUGCACAUGUGGAAUAUAUGUAAAUACAGAAUAGAUAUGUAUUUAAUAGGGAUACACACAUAUAUGUGUGUGUGUAUAUAUAUAUCUUGCUGUUGCUUUUUAUAUUAUAGAUCUCCUUCUAUUAUUACAUUUAGUUUUAUGUAGAUACAUUCUAUUAAGAGUAAAUAUUACACAGAUAGAAUGAAGACACUUUAUUUAUAAUUCUUCAAUAUAUAGAAUUCGUUUUUACUUAUUCAAAUAUGUAAUCCUUUUCUACAUAAUCAUAUGCAUGUUUACUUUCAUAGAGCAUGCAUACUACUUUAUUCUCAAGCAACCAGAAGUCCUUGAAUGUUUUCUGAAUAAUCUAUUGGCCUAUUGUCAUCUCAGAAUAAACCAGUAAUAUUUCUCCCAUAUAUUCUAUUAUUUUCAAUUUUUGUUAAUCAUACUCUAGCCCAUUUGGAACUUACCAUUUAUCUGUUAUUUAAGAAUUACAUUUAUUGCAUUAUUUUUCUCAAUCUUUUAUGUGCUUGAUAUGGAGCUCAGAUAAUGUAUCUCUCAGUAGUUUCUGCUAGAAAGUAUAAGAGGAUGACAGCAAGGGAGUUGAUGUAUUUAUUUCAGGACCUUUAGGAAAGGUAGAAAACACAACAAUCUGAACUCUAGUUACUAAACCCAACUCCAUUCUUCCUGACAGAAAGCCCCUGUACGCAGAAAGAAAUGUAUCUGAUGAAUUGUAGCUGAGCAGAAAUGAGACUUGUGUAUAACAACUAUCUGAGGCAGCUCUUAAUUAGCCUUUCCUGUUAACAAGUGGUAAGAUGAGGCCAGGCACCUGGCACAUCCCAGAAAUUUGGGAGGCCAAGGUGGGGGGAUUGCUUGAGCCCAGGAGUUCGAGGCCAGCCUAGGCAACAUAGUGAAACCCCCAUCUCUACAAAAAAUGGGAAAAAUUAGCCGGCAUGUUGGCACGUGCCUAUAGCCCCAGCUUCUCAGAAAGCUGAGGUGGGAGGAUCACUUGAGCCUGGGAGGUUGAGGCUGCAGUGAGCUGUGAUCAUGCCGCCUGCACUCCAGCCUGGGCAACAGAGCGAGACCUUGUCUGAAGAAAAUAUAACAAAUAAAGAAAAAAAAUAGUAAGAUGAGACAUCUAGCUGUUGAGAAGUCUCUAGACCAUUUUAAUAUCUUCAUUCCUAUAUCCAAUGACCCAUUCUAAAUACAGGCUUGCCUUAUAUUACAGGUGAGUUAAAAAAGAAACAGAGAUGCUUACAGCUUUUACUUCAAAUAGGUUAUCAUAAAAUCCUAUAGGAUCCAGUUUCCUGAAAAUCUGUAAGGAACAACAUUUAAAUUCAUGGAGUUCAUCUCUUUAUUCCAUACUUCUGAGCUUGAGGAGCCAUUAGUCUUGUUUCGGAAAUUAAAGAAUAUUUCCCUGUUUCAAAGCUGUUGUAGAAACUGCUUUCCUAUAUUCUACAUCUUACGCAAAUCCAGAAUGAGAUUCAGAUAAGAUUCAGAUAGCAUGUUCAGGGUCUCUCUGCUUUUUAUAUUAAAACUCUAGAAGUUUCUGCUUUCUUGUUGAAAGCAGCACUCUUGAAUGGCAGACCUCAUGUUGGUAAAUGAUAGAUGCCUUCAAAGACUUACUUGACACAUUUGAUGGGGAAAUCAUAUAAGCCCUUUGGUAGAGAAAGGGGGAAAGUCAUUCUAGCAGGAGAAUGAUGGCCAUUUUUAUCAAGGGGUUUUAUGUUUGAUCUCUGCAUGUAUCUGCUUGUAUCUAAAGAAAAGAAAGUGUAUGAAAAGAAAGGUAGAAAAGCAAAGGUCCCAGGAUUGCAGAUAGACUUCCUUAAUUAUUAGUAAACUAAUUUUUACUGACAAUCAGAAUAACGCUAGAAUAAAGAAGUUAACCCCCAGGUGAGACACAUACCUCUUUCUGGGAUAAGCUUUGUGUGCAUCUGAGCCAUAAAUUAACUCUGUGGUGUCCACAGUUGAAGAAUGAAGCUCUUUUCCCCUUAGAGUUAGUAAUAGUGAGGGUAUAUUUGAAAACAGAUUUUGACCUGACAUGUUUUAUAUUCUAAGGGCACUAUGAUCUAGGACAGACACCUAAAUCCUAUAUCUAAGCACUAUUAUGGGUGGGUUUUUCCUUUAAAUUGUUAAUUAACUUGAGCAUCAAAACGUCUCAUGCUGAAGAUUACAGAGAGAAUUUUUAUUGCCCUGGUAUAAAAAGAUUAACUGCCACUGAUUGCUUUCCUUUUUGCAUGUCAUGAGAGAAACAUAGAUAUUUAUGCAGAGGAAGGUAUAAUCAGCUGUGGGUGGAGGCAGACACAACCAUUCCCCAAUUAACUUCAUGGACAUUAAUCAGCAGAGAACAUCUGAGGGAGUGUGAAGACAAAUGCUUGAAAUGGAAUUGUGUACACAUAAGUGAAUAUACAAAUUAUGCCAUUGUGUCUGAUCACUUUUAUGUGACUCUAAUUAGGAUGCCAGCCACACUAAAAUCCUUUCCUGUGUACUUUGUGUCUGAUGUCUUUCAAGCAGCAUUGUGAUUUGGCUUAUCCAUAUUUUUGGAUAUAGUUGCAUUCUCAUUUAUGUAUGAAUUUCCAUUGUAUGAAUUUAACAUAUACUACAAAUUACUUAUUUUACUGUUGAUGGGAUUUUAGGUAAUCUAUUAGUUUUUGGCUCUUACAAAAAUUUAUGCCUUGAAUAUUCUAGACAGUGGAUGGCAAUCUGUGGUUUAGGGCCUGUUACUGUACAGCUGGUGACCAAAGAUUUUUUUAAAUUUUUAUUUUAAAGAAUUUCUGAGAACAUAAAGAAGAUCCUGUGACAGAGGCUAUAGGUAAACUUCAAAAUCUAACAGAUUUAAUAUCUAAUUCUUCACAAAAAUUUGCUUAUUAUGUUUUAGAUCAUGACUUUCCUAAGGACCUUUUACUUAUUUAUACUGCUUGGGAUUCAAAGAGCUUCUUGAAACUGUGGGUUGACUUCUUUCACAAGUAUUGUAAAUUCUCAGCUACUAUCUUUAAAAUAUUGCCAUGCCCCAUUCUUUAUCACUUCAGGUUUUGGUAAUCUAAUUAUACAUAUUUAUACUUUUUGAGUAUGGCCCAUAUGUAUCUUACAUUAUUUCCUUCAUUUUUCCACUGAGUGCUUUAGUUGAAUACUUUCUUUUGACCUAUCUUCCAGUACAGGCAUAGAGAGUGUGAAGAUAAAUGCUUGAAAUGGAAUUGUGAACACAUCAGUGAAUAUACAAAUUAUGCCAUUGUGUCUGAUCACUUUUAUGUGACUCUAAUUACGAUGCCACCCACACUAAAAUCCUUUCCUGUGUACCUUGUGUCUGAUGUCUUUCAGACAUCCUUUCAGAUGUCAGAGAUAUCAGAGUUAUUGUGGGUUUGGUUUCAGAGCACCACAAUAAAGUAAAUAUUGCAAUAAUAUAAGUCACAUGAAUUUUUUGGUUUCCCAGUGCAUAUAAAAGCUAUGUUUACACUUUACUGUAUUCUAUUAAGCUUGCAAUAGCAUCAUCUCUAAAAAAUGUAAACAUCUUAACUAAAAAAAACUUUAUUAUGAAAAAAUGCUAAUGAUCACCUAACCCUUCAGCAAGUUGUAAUGUUUUUGUUGGUGGAAAGGCUUUCCUCAAUAUUGAUGGGUGCUGACUGAUCGGGGUGGUUGUUGCUGAAGGUUGAAGUGGCUCUGGAGAUUUCUUAAAAUAAGACAACAAUGAAGUUUGCCGUAUCCAUGGAUUCUUCCUUUCAUGAAAGAGUUCUCUCUAGCAUGCGAUGCUGUUGGAUAGCUUUUUACCCACUGCACAAUUUCUUCCAAAAUUAGAGUCAGUCUUCUCAAACCCUGUUGCUGCUUUGUCAACUAAGUGUAUGUAAUAUUCUAAAUCCUUUGCUGUCAUUUCAACAUCUUGCGUGAAGGUGCUGUGAAGGUGCACAGCAUCUUCACCAGGAGUAGAUUCCAUCUCAAGAAGUCACUUUCUUGGCGCACUCAUAAGAAGCAACUCCUUAUGCAAUUCAGUCACAUCUUCAGGCUCCAAUUCUAAUUCCAGUUUUUUUAUUAUUUCCACCACAUUUGCAGUUCCUUCCUCCACUGAUGUCUUGAACCCCUCAAAAUCAUUCAUGAGGAUUGGAAUCAACUUCUUCCAAACUCCUGUUAAUGUUGAUAUUUUGACCUCUUCCCAUGAAUCACAAACGUUCUUAAUGACGUAUAGAAUGAUGACUCCUUUCCAGAAGGUUUUCAAUUUACUUUGUCCAGAUCCAUCAGAAUAAUCACUAGUGAUGGCAGCUAUAGCCUUACAAAAUGUAUUGCUUAAAUAAUAAGACUUGAAAGUAAAAAUUACUCCUUAAUCCAUGGGCUGCAGAAUGGAUGUCACGUUGGCAGGCACGAAAACAACAUUAAUCUUCUUCUACAUCUCCAUCAGAGCUCGUGGGUGACUGAGUGCAUUGUUAAUGAGCAGUAACAUUUGGAAAGGAAUCCUUUUUCCUGAGCAGUAGAUCUUAAUAGUGGGCUUAAAAUAUUCAGUAAACCAUGCAAUAAACAGAUGUGCUGUCAUCUAUGCUUUGUUGUUCCAUUUAGAAGGAACAGCAGAGUAGAUUUAGCACAAUUAUUAAGGGCCCUAGGAUUUUCAGAAUGGUAAAUGAGCAUUGGCUUUAACUUAAAGUCAGCAGGUGCAUUAGUCUCUAACAAGAGUCAGCCUGUGCUUGUGAAGCUUUGAAACCGGGCAUUGACUUCUCCUUUCUAGCUAUGAAGUCCUAGAUGGUAUCUUCUUCCAAUAUAAGGCUGUUUUAUUUAUGCUAAAAAUCUGUUUAGUGUAGCUACCUUCAUCAAUGAUCUUAGCUAGAUCUUCUGAUAACUUGCUGCAGCUUCUGCAUCAGCACUUGCUGCUUCACCUUGCACUUCCAUGUUAUGGAGAUGGUGUUUUUCUAAGGAAAGAACCUCAUGAACAGCCUCUGCUAACUUCAAACUUUUCUGCUGCAGCUUCCUCCCAUCUCUCAGCCUUCACAGAAUUGAGAGUUAGGGCCUUGCUCUGAAUCAGGCUUUGGCUUAAAGAAUUGCUGUGGCUGGUUUCAUCUUCUCUCCAGACCAUGGAAACUUUCUCCACGACAGCAAUAAGGCUAUUUUGCUUUCUUAUCCUUUGUGUAUUCACUGGAGUAACAUUUUUAAUUUCCUUCAAGAGCUUUUCCUUUGCAUUUACACCUUGGAUGUCUGGUACAAGAGGUCUGGCUUUCAGUCCAUGUUGGCUUUUGACAUGCCUUCCUCACUAAGCUUAAUGACUUCUCAUUUUCGAUUUGAAGGAAGGGAUGUGUGUCUCUUCCUUUCACUUGAACACUUAGAGGCCAUUGUCAGGUUAUUAAUUGGCCUAAUUUCAAUAUUGUUGUGUCUCAGGAGUAGGGAGGUCCAAGGAGAGGUAGAAAAAUGGGGGAAUGGUUGGUCAGUGGAGCAGUCAGAAUACACAACUAAUAUUUAUCAGUGAAGUUUGCUAUCUUAUAUGGAUGCAGUUCGAGGUGCCCUAAAACAGUUACCAUAGUAACAUCAAAGAUCACUGAUCACAGAUCACCAUAACCGAUAUAAUAAUAAUGAAAAUGUUUGAAAUAUUGGGAGAAUUACCAAAAUGUGACUCAGAGAUGUGAGGUGAGCAUGUUGUAGAAAAAUUGUGCCAAUAAUGCAGGGUUGUUACAAACCUUCAAUCUGUAAAAACUGCAGUAUCUGUGAAGGGCAAUAAAGUGACAUGUGUUAAAAAGAGAUAUGCCUUUUAUAAUCUUAUAUCACUUGAAUUUGUUAAAUACAAACUUUUAAAACAUCUAUUGUGAUCUUAAUUUCGGAUUUUUUUUUUUAGUUUUAAAACACGCCAGUGAUUACUUUUAUAGAUUUUAGCUUCUUAUUUUUAAACACAUUUCUUCCAUCUUUUUUCUAUUACUUUGAAUAUACUAUGAAUAGUUAUUUUAAAGUUAUUGUUUAAAAAAUCCAAUAUCUGGAUGAUAGCUGAGUCUUUUUUUUUUUUGGUUUUGAUCAUUUUGUCCCUCUUGUCAUUCCUGCUAAUUAUUAUUAUUAUUAUUUUUAAGACGGAGUUUCACUCUUUGUUGCCCAGGCUGGAGUGCAGUGGUGUGAUCUCAGCUCACUGCAACCUCCGCCUCCUGAGUUCAAGUGAUUCUCCUGUCUCAGCCUCCUGAGUAGCUGGAAUUACAGGCACCCACCACCACAGCCAGCUAAUUUUUGUUUUUUUUUUUAGUAGAGAUGGGGCUUCACUAUGUUGGCCAGGCUGGUCUCGAACUCCUGACCUUGGGUUAUCCACCCGCCUUGGCCUCCCAAAGUGCUGGGAUUACAGGCGUGAGCCACCACACCCCGCCAUCCUGUUAAUUUUUUAAAUUAAACUUUUAAUUUUGAGAUAAUUAUAGAUUUACAUGCAAUUGUAAGAAAUAAUACAGAGGGGUCUCAUGUACUGUUUAUGCAUUUUUCCCCGGCGGUGACACCUUGAAAACCUGUAGCACAAUAUCACAACCCUGAUAAGGAUUUUGAUACAGGUGAACUACAGAACAUUUCCAUCACAAUAUUGCCCCUCAUGUUGCCUUUUUAUAGCUACAUCUGCUUCCAUCUCAUCCUCACCCUUUUCUUAACCUCUGGGAAGCACUAAUCUCUUCUCCAUUUCUACACUUUGUCAUUUUAAGAGUUUUAUGUAAAUGCAAUCAUACACUAUGCAACCCUUUGGAAUUGGCUUAUUUUCACUCAGCUAAUUCUUUGGAGAUUAAUCCUGGUUGUGGCAUCUAUCAAUGUUCUUUCCUUCUAAUUGCUGAGUAGUAUUGCUUGGUAUAUAUGUACCACAGUUAUUUUAAGCAUUUACCUAUUGAACGACACCCGGAUUGUUUCUAAUUUUUGGCUAUUAGUAAUUAGGCUGCUAUAAACAUCCAUGUACUGGUUUCUGAGUGGACAUAAGUUUUUUUUUCUUUUUUAGAAGGAGCCUUGGUCUUUUGCCCAGGCUGGAGUGCAGUGGUGUGACCCUGGCUCACUGCAACCUCCAUCUCCCGGGUUUAAGUGAUUCUCCUGCCUCAGCCUCCCCAGUAACUAGGAUUACAGGCAUUUGCCACCAUGCCCAGCUAAUUUUUUAUAUUUUUAGGUAGAGACAAGGCUUUGCCAUGUUGGCCAGGCUGGUCUUGAACUCCUGAGCUCAAGUGAUCCACCUGCCUCGGCCUCCCAAAGUGCUGAGGCUGAGUGCUCAUAUAGGCAUGAGCCAUCAUGCCUGGCCAUGAGUGGACAUAAAUUUUUAUUUCUCUGGAAUAAAUGCCCCCAAAACCAAGACUGGUCAUAAAGCAGCUGUAUGUUUAGUUCUUUAAAGAAACUGCCGAGCCAGGGAAGGCUGGACAUGGUUGCUUAUGCCUGUAAUUCCAGCACUUUGGGAGGCCCAGGUGGUCGUAUCGCUGGAGCCCAGAAGUUUGAGACUAGCCUGUGCAACAUAGUGAAACACUGUCUCUACAAAAAAUUAUAAUAAAAAAAUUAUCCAGGAGUACUGGCGCUCACCCUGUGCUCCCAGCUACUUGGGAGGCUGAAGUGGGAGGAUCUCCUGAGCAAGGGAGGUCGAGGCUGUAGUGAGCUGACAUCCUGCCACUGCACUGCAGCCAGCACUCCUGCCACUCCAUUCCACUCCAGUGACAGAGUGAGACCCUGUCAAAAAACCCAAAAAGAAACAACAACAACAACAAAAAAACCAACAACACACACACACACACACACACACACACACACACACACACACACACACACACACAAAUCUGCCAAGCUGUUUUUCAGAGUGGCUGUAUCAUUUUACAUUUCCACCAGCAAUGUAUGAGUGACCCAAUUUCUCUAUAUUCUCACAACAUUUAGUGUUGUCACUAUUUUUUAUUUUAGCCAUUCAGAUAACUGCAUAGUGAUUUCACAUUGUGGUUUUAAUUUGCAUUUGCCUAAUGCCUAAUGUUGAACAUCUUUUCAUUUGCGUAUUUUCCAUCUGUAUAGCCUCUUUGGUGAACAUCUCUUCAUGUCAUUUACCUAUUAUCUAAAUGAAUAAUGAGUUGUUUGCUUCUUUUUUUUUUUCCUAUUGAGUUUUGAAUGUUCUUUAUAUGCUUUCAAUACUAGUCAUUUGUGGAAUGGGUGGUUUUGCAAAUAUUUCUGCCCAGUGUGUAGCUUGUGUUUUUAUCCUUUUAAUAGGAUCUUUUUUAGAGGAAAAGUAUUUUUGAUGGAGUCCAGUUUAUAAAUUUUUCCUUUUCUGGAUUGCGCUUUUGGUGUCAAGCCUUAGAAGUCUUUGCCUAGAUUUUUUCUCAUGCUUUUUUUUUUUCUAAAAGUUUUAUAGUUUUACAUUUCAGCCUUGAUCCAUUUUGAGACUUUUUGUGUGUGUGUAAGAUUUGGACUUAGAUUGAUACUCUUUUCUUUUGCCCAUGGGUGUGAAAUUGCUCCAGCAUCAUUUGUUCAGAAAGACUCUUUCCUUCAUUGAGUUGAUUUUGUACCUUUGUCAUUACUUGGGCAUAUUUGUUUGGGUGUAUUUUUUGGGUUCGCUCUCCUGUUUUAUGACCUAUGUGUCUCUGUCUGUCAAUACCACACAAUCUUGAUUACUGUAGCCAUAUAAUAAGUGUUAAAAUCAUUCACUCUUUUACUCAAGAAGCUAAAAAAUGUGUUAAAAUCAGGUAGGAUGAUUGUUGUCACUUUAUUCUUCUUUUCAGUAAUUGUUUUAGGUCUUUCAGUUCUUUUUAUUUUCUAUACAAAUUUUAGAAUAAACUACCUAUAUAUACAAAAAGUCUUACUGGGAUUUUAAUAGAAGUUGCGCUAAACCUUUUGGAUAGAAUUGAUAUAUUUACUAUGUUGAGUCUUUCAAUCUACAAAUAUGGUGUGUCUCUUCAUUUAUUGAAGUCUUCUUUAACUUUUCUUCAUCAAUAGUUUGCAGUUUUCUCUGUACAAGUCCUAUAUAUGUUUUAUUAAGUUGAAAACUAAGUAUUUCAUUUUUUGGAGCAAUUCUAAAUGGUAUUUUAUUUUCAAUUUUGUGUCUACUUAUUCAUUGCUAGUAUAUAGAAUAUAAUUU